AUUGAGUGACUUUAAACUUUUCAAGAACUUGUGGGUGAGGGAGAAUAAUUGGAGGAGGUGGAGGAAGUGAAGCAUGAUGUUGAGGGACACCAUCUUCAAGAGAUUUGGGAAGAUCAUAGUUGUCUGAACCAGACAUCUAUAAUGGGAGAAAAUCAAGUUAGUUGAUUCAAAGUCCUUAAUAUAACACCCAAUAUGAAAUAUUAAGGCUAGGACCCAACACAAUAUUUUAUAAUUUGGAAGAGGGAUGCCGUAAUCCAAGCUAUAAAAUAUUUGAAGGUAGGCGAAUGACGAUUCACCAAUUUCCACCAUGAAAAACGAAAUAAUUUAUUAGGUUUUAAUUGGAUUUGAAAUUCCUAGAUCUUUUGAGAUUCAUUGAACUUUUCAAUGGCAUGUUUCAAUCUCGAGUGUGCCCUCUCAAAUUUUGUGACUGGGAUGCCGAGGAUCACAAAACAAGGUGUGAAUAACCAUACCAAUUCACUUGGUACCCUUAAUAUUAUCACCCAAUCAAUGUGCCGGUUAACCACACACGCUCCAUUGAUCUAUGACAAACAUUAAGUCACCCUUCGUGAUCCUUACUAGUCCAAGUUAGUGUGCCGGUUAACCACACACGCUCCACCAACGACUUGGUAAGGUACAAAGUGUGAAUUCCAUGGGCUAGCACCAAAUUCACAUUUUUCCUAAAGUAACUAAGAUUGGGAAUUAAAUAAAAAAUAUUUAGUUACUUUAUAAUAUUCAUUAUACUUUUAAUGAGAAUUUAAAGUCAUUGUCCUACCUGUUCGGCUAACGACCCUCCACCGAUCAAGCAAGCGGUGGGUGAGAGUGGACACCCAUUAAGUUGCCAUUUUAUAGGCAACAACCUUAUACCCACCUUACAGACCGGCUUCGUGAACGAGGCCUAUUAACGGUAAAAUGACUUGUUCUUAUACAUAUAUAAUAAUUAACCGUUAAUGUUAUAAAUAGUAUAAGUGUUGAAUUUUAACUUUUAAAACUCUAGGAUGUGGAAUUAAAGUUUGUGUGAGACUUUACAAAUUCCAAAACUUGAGGGCAAGUUUUAAACAAUUCAUAAACUUUUGGAUAUUCAUAACUUAUGAGUUUUAAUUAAGUGUUUAAAACUUUUAAUGAAGAGUCUCUUGGAAAUCCAUAACUUGAGGACAAGUUAUGAAGUCCAUAAAAGCAUUUAUUAGAAAAACUCUUCAAAAGUGUAACUUAUGACUUCUUAAAAAAACAUUUAAAAGAAAAAACUUUUGGAAUUCCAUAACUUGAGGACAAAUUAUGAAUUCCAUUAAAACACAUUAAGAUCAAGAAUUAACUAACAAACAAUUUGCAAAUAAUUCCUAUGAUCUAACAAAACUCAUAUGAACAUGAACAUCCACAUCAACAAUUUCAAGAAUCAUAUGAACACAUAUAAACUUGAAAUUUUGAUUAUAACUUUGAAAUUGGUCCACCAUCAUCAUUACCACAUCAAAAACAGGUUUUAUGAGUCCAAAACAGUUUAAGGUAAUGAUUCUAGACCAAUUCCAGCACCAAAACUCGAAGAUAUGCUGUCUGGGGGUCCAACUCGUCGAGUGCAUGAACCAACUCGCCGAGUUGGAUGAAUUUUGUCUUGGACUCGUCGAGUCCCUUCAUGGACUCGGCGAGUCUGCUGUGCAGACAGCACAUAAACUUCGAUUUUCAGCAAUUUGCAUCAAGUAUUCAAGAAAACAAGCCUAGGCUCUGAUACCACUGUUGGGUUUUGAGCAAUCUAACACUUCCUAAGUGUGCAUGCAACCCUAAUAAACCUUGGAUCUAUGUUUUCUUCUAAAAUACAUGCAAAUAAUAACUUCCAAGGUUUCUUCCUAACUAGCAUAGCAUAAGGAUUAUGAAUCAUAAAAGUACUAGUAGAAAUACAUACCUUUUGAUGAUGGUUGAUUGUUUGGAGUUUGAGAGCCAAGCACCAAUAGUGUGAAUGCCUCAAAUGGAAUCACAAAUCACCACAAACACUUGGAAAACUUUGAGAGAGUAGUAUACUUUCUUGUGGAAUCGGCCACCACUAAGUCUCACACUACUAGUGUCACAUUUCUUGCAUCAUAUGCUUCUUUAUAUAGUGUGCAUGGUUAGGGUGAAACCCUAAUAACCCAUGUCUUUUCCUUUCCAAGGAUCCAUGGGUUAAAAGCUCCAUGGAUCAUCCAUGGACUUCCAUAUUAGCUUAGCCCAUUAACAAAUGAGUAUUAGCCCACACUAUAUAAAAUAUAAUAGCCCAUAAUUUAAUCAGUCUUCUUUUUAAUCUCUAAAUUAAUUCAUAAUUAAUUUAAGACUAAAACUAAUUAAAUAACAUGACUUCAUAUUAAUAUAUUAUAACUUAUAAUAUAUUAAUAAAUCGUAAGUAUACAAUUCUCAUAAAAUUAUCCAUAAAUCGUUUGGGUGAAGUGCAACCCAAAUGGACCAUGCCGGGUCGGGUCAAGUAUGUACCAAAUAAGUUAUGGACUUAGACACCUUAUCCAAUACUUAUGAUCAGUAAAAACCUUGCACUUCAUGCCAUAGAGGUAACGCCUCAAUAUUUUUAGAGCGAAAACUACUGCUGCCAGCUCCAAAUUGUGAGUCAAGUAGUUCUUUUCAUGCUCUUUCAACUGUCGAGACGCAUAUGCGAUCACCUUUUCUCUUUGGGUCAAAACACAAAACCAAUCCAACCACAGACGCAUCGCUAUAAACAGCGAAGUCUUCAACUCCAUCGGGUAGAGAAAGAAUCGUGCCUUACAUAGCUUCUUCUUUAGCAACUCGAACGCUUCUUUGUGCUUAUCACUCCAUGCAUAAGCGGCUCCUUUGUGGGUCAAAGCUGUUAAUAGGCUAGCGAUCGAAGAAAAGUGUUGGAUAAACCUUUGGUAAUAUCCGACUAAUCCCAAAAAGCUUCUGAUCUCCGUGGGACUUUUCGGUUGCUCCCACUUCGUCACGGCCUCAAUCUUUGCUGGAUCAACCAUUAAACCUUCUUGGUUGACCACAUGACCCAAAAAUUGGACUUCUCGGAUCCAAAAAUCGCAUUUGGAGAACUUAGCAUACAACUUUUCCUUCUUCAAGACUUCUAACACUUCUUGCAAGUGUCUGCCAUGCUCCUCUUGGCUUUUCGAGUAAAUCAGAAUGUCAUCUAUGAAUAUUAUCACAUAUUUAUCAAGGAACAGAUUACAAACCCUAUUCAUCAAAUCCAUGAAUGCUGCUGGAGCAUUGGUUAGUCCAAACGACAUAACCAAGAACUCAUAGUGUUCAUAUCUAGUUCUAAAUGUAGUAUUCUCGAUAUCUUGUUCUCUUACUUUCAGCUGAUGAUAUCCUGACCUAAGAUCGAUCUUUGAAAAAUAACUUGAGCCUUGCAGCUGAUCUAACAGGUCAUCAAUCCUCGGCAAUGGAUAUCUAUUCUUUAUUGUUGCCUUAUCCAGCUCUCUAUAAUCGAUGCACAUUCUCAUGGUCCCGUCCUUCUUCUUUACAAAUAACACCAGAGCUCCCCAGGGAGAUGAACUAGGUCUAAUGAAACCUUUGUCCAAUAACUCUUGCAGUUGCAUCAUAAGCUCCUUCAUCCAUGUUGGUGCUAGUUGAUAAGGGUCUUUUGCAAUUGGCGUCGUUCUGGAUAACAAGACAAUAUAGAAUUCUACUUGCUGAUCAGGCGGUAAUCCAGGAAGAUCUUCGGGAAACACUUCCGGAUAAUCACACACCACAGGAAUGCUCUGUACCUCCUUCUUCUCUUUCUUAGCAUCAAUUACAAAUGCUAGAUACGAUGUACAUCCUUUGGCCAAACACUUUCUGUCUUUCAUCAAUGAAAUGAUUCUAGAAUUUACUCUGCGUUUAUCUCCAUACACCAUAAACGACUCUUUCCUAAGCGGGUUUACUUUUACAAUCUUCUUCUUGCACAAUCUCUCGGUGUCAUUGGCGCUAAGCCAAUCCAUUCCCAGCACGAUGUCAAAACUGUUUAUUUCUAUAGGCAAUAAUUCCUCAUGGAACUUAUUCCCAUUCAAGUCAAUGAAGAUAUUUUUCAUGCGAUCGCUAACAGGUACAAACUUGCCACUAGCGACUUCGACUAAUAAAGCAUUAUCUAGUCUAUCAACAGGCAAAGAUAUUUUUCUACCAAACUCAUGCGAAAUAAAGGAAUAGUUGGUUCCAGAAUCAAACAAAAUUUGAGCAGGCAAAUUGUUUACAAGAAAGGUACCUGAAGCGAAAUCAACCUCAUCUUUCGCAGCUUUGAGUGUCAUCUGGAAGGCUCUCGCUUUCGGCUUUGGGGGAAUAUUAGGUUUUGCUGCUUCCUUCUUUCUCGGACAGUCUUUCAAAAUGUUCCCCUCUUCAUUACACCCAAAUCACACUCUUUUUUUGGACGAACACUCAUUGGCAUAAUGCCCCGUCUUUCCACACUUGUAGUAGGUCAUAUCUGUUAGAUUAGUGUCUAAGUCCAUAAGUAUUUUGGUAUGUACUUGACCCGAUGGUGCAUGGUCCUUUUGGGUUGCCUUCACCGAAGCAACUUGAUAGGAUGAAUUAUGGAGAGAAAGGAUUAAAUAUGAUUUAUUAAUAUAUUAUGAGAAUAAUAUAUUAAAGGAGAAAUCAUAUUGUUUAAUUAAUAUUAGUCAAUAAUUAAUUGGUAAUUAGUUUUGUGACUAAAAGAGAUUAAUUAAAUUUAAGGGACUGGAAUUGUAAUUAUAAGAUAAUUGCAAUUUGGGCCAGGGAUUGCCUUUUAUUAUAAAGGUGGGCGAAUUCCAAUGGGGAAGCCCAUAUGAAGUCGUCCAAGGCUUUAAGAAAGGGCUCCAUGGGUUACUUAGGGCUUAAGCAACCAAAUUAGGGUUUCCUUGUUAGAUAACCCUAAUAGCCUCACUAUAUAUAGAACCCUUAAGGCUCAAAAACGUGGGGAACUUCUUUUCUACUCUUCAUCCUCUUGCUUAUGGUGUUUGUGAACCAUUAGAGGAGUGACACUUGUGACUCUAAGCCUUCCAAAGUCAAUUCAAAGGAGGAAUUGGGAUUGUUAUUGUUACAUAACAAUCAAGGUAAUAUCUUAAACCUAAUUAUAUGUUAAUAUUGAUUUCCAUAUGCUAGAAUUAGGGUUUAUAGUCUUGGAUUCAAAGCAUGUACAAUAGAGAAACCUAGAUCCAAGCAUUAGGGUUUGUAUGAGCACAUAGGAUGUCUUAUGACCAAAACCCAUCAGUGGUAUCAGAGCCUAGACUGGUUUCAAUUGUAUUGAUGCAUUACAUGUUCAAAAAAUUCGAUUUUUGAUGUUCUGGAGGCUGGACUCGCCGAGUCCAUAGCUGAACUCGCCGAGUCCAUGCAGACUCGACGAGUCCAAGCUUGACUCGACGAGUCAACUCGUCAGAUGGGGAUAUCUUCGCGAUUUCUUGCUGUUUUUGCUUAUGGAUAGUUACCUUAUCAUAUUAGAUCAAUAUAAAUCCGAUUUUAUGAUAUAUUUGACUAUAUUUUUGAUCUAAUUGAAGAUAUUUAUCAAUUAAUAAGAUAAUUGUUUCCUUAUGUGAUAAUUGAUUAAUUAUUUUGAUUAAAUUGAUAAAUUGUUUUGCAAGAAAUCAUUAAAUAAAUCAAAUAUGGAUAAUUAUGUGAUUAAAUGUUAAUUUAGAUUAUUUGUUAUUUGAUCCUUGUUGUUAUGAAAAGUUUCAUAUUUUCCCCUUUAGGUUUUAUAGUUUAAAUUUGAACCCAAAAGUUUUGUUGUUUUGAAAUUUAAAUAGUUGAAACCCUAAUGUUUUGAAAAAGGUUUCAAAACUUGCCCUCAAGUUUUGGAAUUUAAAUUUUGAUUAAAUAGUUUAAUUUUGAUGUAUAUUUAAAUUCUAAACCCUAAUGUGUUGAAAUGUUUCAAAACUUGCCCUCAAGUUUUGGAAUUUAAAAGUUGAUUAAAAGUUUAAUUAGGAAUGUUAAAUUCUAAAACUCUAGUAUUGUUUUGAAAAAGUUCAAAUCACACCCUUAUGGUUUUAUUAAUUAAUUAAGGUGUAUAAUUAAAAGAGGUUUAAUAAAUCCAUAAAAGUUUUGGUUUACAAUUUAAUUGAAUUAAAAGUAUAAUUGUUAAAUUUGACCACCUAGUAUUUUAAAAGUGUAAAAUACACCCUAUACUAUAUAUAACAUUAAAAGUCUAACAUUAUAUAUAUGUAUGAGUAAAAGUCAGUCUUACCGUUAGUAGGCCUCAUUCACGAAGCUGGUCUAUAAGGGGUGUUUAAGGAAAUUGCCUAUAAAAUGGCGAUUGAAUGGGUAUCCACUCUUACCCACCGCACUCUUGACUAGUGGAGGGUCGUUAGCCGAACGGGUAGGAUAGGACGAAACCUUCCAUUAUAAGUAUAAUGAAGUAUAAAAGUAACUAAAUGUUUUCAUAAAAUUCCCAAUCUUAGUUACUUAGGCAAAAGUGAAUUGAUGCAAUUCCAUGAAAUUACACUUUGUGCCCUUGCGAAGACGUUAGUGGAGCGUGUGUGGUUUACCGGCACACUAAAUGGUUCUAAGCAAAGGUAGCAAAGGGUGACUCAAUGUUUGUCAUAGUUCGGUGGAGCGUGUGUGGUUUACCGGCACAUCGAAUAGGUGACUGUAACAUGUGAGGGCACCAUGUAAGUUUGCAUGGUUAUUCACACCCGCUUUGUGAUCCUCGGCAUCCCAGUCACAAACAAGAGGGGCAUAUCGAGAUUUAAACAUGCCAUUGAAAUGUUCAAUGAAUCUCAAAGGAUCUAGGAGUUUUCAUAGAUUUAAAACUUAAAUUUCUUUUUCGUUUUUCAUGGUGGAAAUUAGUGAAUCGUCAUUCACUUACCUUCAAAUGUUCUGCAAUUUGGGUUACGGCAUCCCUCUCCCGAGUUGUAGAAUAUUGUGUUGGGUCCUAGCCUUAGUAUCUCAUUUGGGUGAUUUACUAAGGACUCAAUCAAUCAACUAACUUGAAUUCGUUUUCUCCCGUUUUGUAGAUGUCAAAGUUCGACAACUAUGGUCUUCCCAAAUCCCGUGGAACAAGCAUUCCACAUGAAGAUGAUAUUCCACGAUUCGAUCGAGGAACAAGAAAUCAUGCUUCACUUCCUCCACCUCCUCCAAUUAUUCUCCCUAACCCACAAGUUCAAAGGCUUGAAAAGUUCAAGAUCACUCAAGCCCUUUUGGCAAGUAAACAUAAAGAAGGAAAGUCGGUGUGUGCACACGUCCUAGGGAUGAAGUCACACAUUGAUAGGUUAAGAAUGUUGGGAUCCGUUGUCUGUGAGGAAAUGGCUGUUGAUUGGGUUCUUCAGUCACUUCCUAACUCAUAUAGUGAGUUCGUAAGAGAGUACUAUAUGAUGAACCGCGACGUGACCCUUAUAGAUCUCACCUAUAUGCUUAUUGCUGCUGAAUCAGCAAUGGUUUGGCGCAAUAGAAAAGCAAAGUUGAUUGGUGAAUCUGCCUUCAAGACCUCUAUGGAUAUAGACAAUGGCAACGAAAGACAUGCUAUGAUCGAAAAGUUUGAUCAUAAGAGAAAGGCAAUGUCUGAAGUAGUUCCAUGUCAUGUUCCAAAAGAGUCAAUUUGCUUUUAUUGCCAAGAGAAAGGGCAUUGGAGACGAAGCUGCCCCAUUUACCUAAGAGAUCUAAGAGAUGGGAGAGUCGAAACGUAUGGCUCUGAUUUAGGUAAAAUCCAUUAACUAACUCUUUUAAGCUUCUAUUCUAGAUUCUUAAUACAUAAUGUGAUAAGAUUACAAUUGAUGUUUUGUAGGAUCGAAGAAAAGAAAGGAAGCUUAAGGGAAGAAGUGAGCAGAAUCUAACCGUGAAGGAAUGGAUUUCGAUCGCAUUUCUCGAAGAUUAGAUUCUUGAGCUACUACUUAGAGUUAGAAUUAGAUUGCUAAGAAAGAUGUAUUAGCAUAGUUUUUCAAUGAAUUGCAUUGUAAGGACAAAAUUUUUCCGCAAUAAAAUAAAUUUUGAUUUUAUAUUAUUUAUUUAUCCUUGCAAUGGCGUAUAUGAAAAAUUGAUGUUUGAAUGUUUCUAUUAUUAGCAAUAAUGGAUUUGGUUCUUAUUAUGUUAUUUAUGGAAAGUCGAGAAUUUACCAAAUAGGGAGAGUUUCUCAUCGCCCAAGUUUCAAUUGGACAGAAACUUGGAAUCAUGCAACUUGGUUGCACGAUGAAUGAGAAAUUUCAUAUUUGGAAAUUAGACUAAUUCAUUGACAAAGUGUCAAGUGAAGGACUAGGAGAUCGAGUACACAAAGUUGCGUGUUGAUCAAGUCCACCAUAAGAGUAACAAAGAUAUUCGUCAUGAUUUACUAAAGGUUUAGUAAAUAUGAUUAUACUUAUAAGAUUAAGUGUAAUUCUGAAUUGAUUGAAAAAGUUUAAAUCAAUAGCAGAACGAAUAAGAAGAAUCAAGUAGGCAGAAAGAUAAAAGUUUCUCCAUUCUAAGAAGAAGGGAGAGUACCUUUUAUGCUUUAUGAUAGGUCUUAAUGAUUAAGAACCAUAUCUCAAUUGAUCCUCUAAGUGAGUCUUAGUACAAUUGUAUGUCUAAGAAGAGGAAUCAAGAAUUGAAGAAAUGGUUAAAUCAAUAAGUCAAUCAUACUUCGUUCCAAUAACAAGUCUUAAAGUUAAGAUUGUGACAAUGAGUGAUAAGUAUUAAGAAGGUUUAUAACAUUCAUCAAAUGUGGAAAGUUGUGAUGUCUUGGAUAAGACAAAGACCAACUAGGACCAAUUUAUGAAGUGUUUUGAUAAAAACUACACUAACUCUUGAAUAUUUGUUUGUCAAGAAAUGGUUAUUGACAAGAGAAUCUUAUAUGUCAAGGAGUCAGUGGGAGUCUUAAUGGUCUUGAAAGGUUUCAAGAACAAAUCAAAUAAACCUUAUCGAUCAUCACUAGCACACGAGUUGAGGUUUACAACCUAUCGUGUUGACAUUAUUUUGAUUCUGUGCCAAUCCAAUCGAGUUAAUUAUGCAUGUGAGUUCUAUGAGUUCUCAUUUUGAACGCAUAAAAGGCAAAGCACCUUAAUCAAUGAAAGGUACAUUGAUAGGAAAGGGUGAGCUGCUUAACUACUUGGAAGACAUGGUGGGCAGCUGUGCUACCAUAAAGGCAAGAAAUCGAGAUCAAGAAAGUUCGAUCCAUAAGAGUUUGAAUUUGUCGUAAACUUUGGUUUUGACAAAUUCACAUGGAUAGGAACAAAUACACUAUUUAAAUCUAAGUGUCAUAAGAUUUCCUCCUUCAUGAAAAUGAUUGUGAGGAAAUGCUUUCACUAAGACAGAUUUUAAGAAGAUAGUGAUUGUAAAAUUGCAUUCUCGAAUUCAAUUAUGGUUACGGCAUCCCUUUCCAUAAUUUGAAUUGUGAGGUUUGGCAAUUAGUCUUAAUUGUUUAGACACACAUAUGAACUAUCGAAGGCAAAUGUGUAUAAGUUCAAGAAACCUUGAUAAAAGAUUAUCAAAGCACUAAGUAUUAGAAACAUGAACUUAAGAAAUUCAAUAAGCAUUGUUUUUCUGAAAGUUAAGAUGUUUAUGAAUACAUGUCGAAGCUAGUGGGAGCAUAAGUGUUAUGUUUUAUAAUAAUCAUCAAGAUAGUGGGAGCAUAAAAGUUAUGAUUGUAUGAUUAUUAAGGAAAGUAUUGCAAGGUUAGCAAUAUUAAUUAUAGAAAACAAGAGUCAUACUUUGCAAAGUCGCAAUAGUUGAAGAGUUGUUUUGCUAUAAUUAAGGGAGAGAAUAUUAUGCUUCAUUUCAAAUCUAAAGGUUUAGGUUGAGAAAUGUUAAUAAAAUUUAGUCAAAGGUACAAAGUAUGUUCUGAAAAUUUCGAUUAUGAUUACGACAUCCUUCUUCACAAUUCGAAUUUUGAGAACAUAGCAAAUAAAACAUUAUGCGUCGUGUCCCAUACGCUUCGGGUAUAGGAUCGAUUGUAAAUGCUUUAAUGUUUGACCAUUCUAAAAUUUUCCAAAUGUCGAGCGCAUUUAGAGGGAAAAGGGACUAGAAUUGGUUUUGACUAAAACAAUUAAACAACUAUCAAAGGACAACCCAAAGUUCGACGAGGAUUGGUCGCUUGUGAGUAGUUGGAAGUAUAGUAUUGGAAAAUAUGGAAAUGUUUCCAUAUUGGAUGGACCAUAUCGACAUCAUUACGAAUAGAUAAGAUUCUAUUAAGAAUGAGUUGUCAUAUGGAACAUAUGGAAGUGUGUCCAUAUUGGGAAUUGAAUAUUGAGAAAUCUAUGACUAGAUUAGAAACUUCUAUGCAAAAGGAUGUUCAAAGAAUGUACUUUGAGUGAGAGACAUCACAUCUAUGGAAUUGUCUUGUAACAAUCUCCGAUAGAGGACUUUGUAAUAUCAUUGGCAAUAGUCUUUGUGACUUUGGUGCAGUGACAUUACGAAAGGAUAAGUUGCAUAGAAUGUUAGAAUCUAGCAUAUUCUAUAAGUAGCAAGAAUUUGAUAUUCUUUCACUUAGAAAAAGGAUUUGGAGUUGUGAAAUGAGAAUGAUUGGAAAUGUGUUCAAUGUGAUCUAUUUCACAAAGUAAGAACCAUAGGUAAACAUUGUGUGCAUGCUAGGAGCAUGGGACAAGUGUUGUAAUUCAAGUAAGAAGUUGAUUACCCGAAACGACAAAUAAUGAGUAAUCAAUAUGGUGAUAAAUAAAAGGUGUUUUAUUUAUACUCAAAGGUUUGAGGCCAUAUGGGAUUAGUAUUAUUCUUGUGUUUCACAUUUGCAUGUUUUGACUUCCAGAAUAAUUGAGUUUAUUAAGAAUAAUCGAAUUAUUCGAACGGGCCACAGUCGUUCAUAUGUUGGAAGUAGAUAUGAAUGAAGACUGUCGUGAAUUGGUGUGUGGAUUGUCUAAAGAGUAUUAGACAUAAGCAAAUGUUUGCUGCAACGUUCAUGAGUGCUUAUGAAUAUGAUUUGAGCAUUGGAUUAAACCCACGCUCACUUGGAUCACUCCAUGAAUUGUAUCACGAGUGAUUGGUGAGACGAUAACAUCUUAUAUUCUUGAAACCGAGAUGUGUGAGUUGUAUCUUGCAAAUCGGUUGCACAUUGAUAAUAUGUAAACGCACUAGUAACUUGGUGUUAUAAAACAUAUUGUUGUGUGUGAUUCGGUGCGUGAGUGCAAGCGAGCAUUGUAUCAAAGUUUAUCCGUUCCUUUUAUUCAAAGUAGGAUAAAAGCGAUAUCUUUGGGCCCCUCGAUGGUUUAGUGAUGACAAACGUAAAUGCUCGGCCGGGCUAGGGCUAAUUUGAUUUGUUCAAUUAGUCAGUCGUCAUAAAUCGGGAAUCGAGAUAUAGUACAAAGAGAAUGAUUUGAAAUCAUAUCUCAUAUGAUAUCUAGAAUGGAGGAAUAUAUGAUCCCUUAUCUAAGGACACGCGUAUCUGAUAGGAUCAGAGUUGACAGCGGCUUUGGAAAGCUACGAUUGCAGAUCAGGAUCUGAAGUCAUACGCAGAAUAGUUAUUAGACUUAUCCAAGUGGGAGACUGUUGGAUUAGUGUCUAAGUCCAUAACUAUUUUGGUAUGUACUUGACCCGAUGGUGCAUGGUCCUUUUGGGUUGCCUUCACCAAAGCAACUUGAUAGGAUGAAUUAUGGAGAGAAAGGAUUAAAUAUGAUUUAUUAAUAUAUUAUGAGAAUAAUAUAUUAAAGGAGAAAUCAUAUUGUUUAAUUAAUAUUAGUCAAUAAUUAAUUGGUAAUUAGUUUUGUGACUAAAAGAGAUUAAUUAAAUUUAAGGGACUGGAAUUGUAAUUAUAAGAUAAUUGCAAUUUGAGCCAUGGAUUGCCUUUUAUUAUAAAGGUGGACGAAUUCUAAUGGGGAAGCCCAUAUGAAGUCGUCCAAGGCUUUAAGAAAGGGCUCCAUGGGUUGCUUAGGGCUUAAGCAACCAAAUUAGGGUUUCCUUGUUAGAUAACCCUAAUAGCCUCACUAUAUAUAGAACCCUUAAGGCUCAAAAACGUGGGGAACUUCUUUUUUAUGGUUAGAACACGUUUUGGGUAGCCUCUAUCCUCUCUCCUCUUCAUCCUCUUGCUUAUGGUGUUUGUGAACCAUUAGAGGAGUGACACUUGUGACUCUAAGCCUUCCAAAGUCAAUUCAAAGGAGGAAUUGGGAUUGUUAUUGCUAUAUAACAAUCAAGGUAAUAUCUUAAACCUAAUUAUAUGUUAAUAUUGAUUUCCAUAUGCUAGAAUUAGGGUUUAUAGUCUUGGAUUCAAAGCAUGUACAAUAGAGAAACCUAGAUCCAAGCAUUAGGGUUUGUAUGAGCACAUAGGAUGUCUUAUGACCAAAACCCAUCAAUAUCAUCGCUACAUUUCCCAAAGUGCUUUUUCUUGCACUUCUCACACCAUUUUGAUUCGCCUCAUUUUCCUCCUCCAAAAAUUUUCGAAUCAGACUUUAGAAAUUUGUUUUUCUUGCUGGAACCAAAAGUUCCUUCAAACUUUCUCUUUUCACCAAAUUCAACUUUGCUGGUGGUUCUUCCUUUGAUCAUGUUCUCAACAGACUUGGCAGCCCAAAUAGCUGCCUCCAGAGUAGGUGCUUGACGUACUGGCACAGCGUACUCCCAUGGGAGUCCCUUUGUGUAUCGAUCUACUUUCGUCAGCUCAUCUGGAACGAUACGCAAAGCAAACUCCAUCUUGUCUAUGAAAGCAUUUGUGUAUUCAUCAACUGACAUGCUGCGCUUUUUCAAUGUCAGAAACUUGUUCUCCAACUCCAACAUAUUUUGGGCCGAACAUAACUUGCGCUUGAACUGCACCAAAAACUCUGCCCAUGUCAAUUGUAGUGGUUCAUUAGGGCUUAGGGUCUUCCCCAAAGUGUUCCACCAGCAAAUGGCUCCACCCCUGAACUAUCGUAUAGUGAACGUAGUCUACGACUUGCCUCUGCAUCCACAAGUCAUGAAGUCUAACUCCAUUUCAAAGAUCCAAUCCAACACUCCAAUCGGGUCCUCCUUUUAAGUGAAGGUCGAUGGUUUGCAAGUCAGAAAGUCCUUGUACUUGCAUCCCAGUCCAUUAUUUCCUCCAUCUUGGUUGUUUUGUUGAACUAUCGGUGGGUUGUCUUGACCAAUUAUCCCACUAAAGUUCUCUCCUUCAGACUGCCCUCCAUUAACUUCGGGCUCUUACGCAUGAAUUGAAAGCUCUUCAUGAUUCUGUUGAAGUAGAUGUCGCGUUUCUUCCAUUUGGCUAUCCAACAUAGUUUGAAUCAUUACUUGCACACCAGCCAUAGUCAUUGGCUCGGGUGCUACUGCUGCAACAACUACUUGUUCUAUCACAGGUAUUUGAUUUCUGUUUUCAUCAGCAUUUCCAUCUCCACUCCUCGCUCUCACCAUUUUUGAUCUAUACACCAAAUAAGGUGAAAUUAGAUCCUCAUUCACGAUAGAUAUUCAGAUCGUCCUUAUUACUCCAAACGAUUACAUGCUAGAUCUAAUAUCGUAGCCAAACGCUUAGAAUCCUAAACACAUAAGGUUUCCAGAUCCGUUCGGCAACAAACCAUAGAUCAAAACAAAUAAUUUCAUAUAUGGCAAACAUAUAACAUUUAGCACAUAAAAGCAUUUUAGGCAUCUUUCCUAAAGUAAACUAGUGCUCGUGCCUAAAAUAUAACAGACACACAUCUCGAAAUCAUCACUUAGCAUUCAAAAUUUAUGUCUAGAAAUCCUACAAAUUCCUAGUUCGCUUAAACUAAUGCUCUGAUACCACUGUGACAUCCCCAAAAUCACGGCCAGAAAAGACCGGUUUAACUUAUGCUUUUAAAAUUAUUUCAGAGUAAUCAUUUGAUUAAAAGAGUUGCAGAAUUUGUUCCCAAAACAAAAUAUGAUAAAAAUAAGAUUUACCAAAGCAUUUCUUAAAGAAAUGUAUUUUGCAUUAUAUUACAAUACUCGGGAUGUCAUGUUUCGAUAAACAAACUAAAAGCAUAAACAUUUCAAUAUAGACCUUACAAUAGUUAUUUACAACAACAGGUCUAUAAUCCAAAAAUAACUUGACAAGUUAUCCAACUUAUGCUCUGGCGCCACUACCUAUAAUACAAAGAAAACUGAGUGGGUCAGGCUGGGAGCCUGGUGAGCAUAUAGGGUUUUCAAUCCACAAUAAAUAAUUAUAUUAAUUUCAUCAACCAACAAAAAUCCAAUUACCCAUUCCCGUUAUUCUCACUUUACGUCCCUAAGACAACUAACACAAGGAACCUAGUCUUAGAAUAUUUCAUCGGGGUGACAACACAUGCAUUCGGGGGUUUCCCAGCAAUAUAUGUCAAAUAAGGCAACCAUGAGGAGGAUGGAGUAUAGCGAAUGAACAUCCAAGUUCAUGAACACCUAGAAGUGGCAAGCCUGCUAACGUUCCAGGUUCUUAUGAGAUCCUAUAACGGGGCUGCCCAGUUACAUACCUACAGAAACAUUCACUACUCGACCACAAGACCCUGUAUCACAACGUCCAACCCUUAGCUCAGAAGUCUCUACCGGUUCCAACCCGAAUUCCCAUGACCACCCGGCUCGCCCCUGGUUAACUGAUUGGUCAGUCACUCUGAUCCUGAUCCUAACUAAGUUGUCUCCCCCACAAUACUGCAAACUAGUCUACCCUAGUCCAAAUCACCUGAAAGAAUCCGUGAAUGCUACAACACACCCCACAGUCUUACAACACUAUACCCUAACUGACCAUUUCUAAAUGCUAUGGCUCCCCCGUAGUCUUACAUCACUUUCACCCCAACUAGACAUUAGUGAAUGCUACGGCUCCCCCGUAGUCUUAUAACACCUUCACCAUUUCUUCUGUCCUGGAUACAUGGAUGGUUCUCCCCAACUUAGAUUCAACUAAGUCCGCUCGGCACGCGAAAACUGAAGGAUUCUCAAUCCUCAUUAUGUCCGAACAUUCACCUUGUUGACGACUGGUGCUUAUCAAAGCUUGAACACCAUGAAUAACCCUUCCAAAACAACAUGAGUCGUGAAAACCAACUAACACAUCUUGUUUCCCAACUAUGCCAAUGACUCUAGCUAUUCACACUGAUAACACAUUCAGAUCUCGGAGUCCAAAGGUCGGAUGCUCCCACAAUACUUCAGCGAUAGCUUCUCUCUCUUUCUCCCUCGGCAACUCCGAGAGGCUUUACUAACAUAAUUUCUAAGGUUAUUGAAACCCAGUUAAAAUCCCCUCGCACGAACGCUUGAACCAACCCCAACCAUAGUCAAAAUAACAAUCGAAUGCUGGAAGAUCGGCAAUAUAUCAGGAGAUGACCCCAUACUACUCCACCCAAAUUCACAGUAUGCAGAUGGCAUAUAACUCAUCUUGAAGUUGCAUAUAACUCAAGCACCACUAGAGAUAACAACCAACGAUACGCCUAUCCAUGCUAAUGAAAAAUAACCGCUGCUAAACACAGGCAACACUGUUUGGGUGGCAACAAGGGUACCUCACACCCUUGUCUGCUGGAGUUCCGAUCUCCCCUGUCUGACCCUGCAAAGCGGGUGUCACACCCCAAAACGGAGAACGGCGGAAACGUUCUGGGGAGGAGGACGUCAUGUAAUGUAUCACAACAAUGUAAAGUAGUAAACAAGCAACAACAUCAUCUAUUGCAUUAAUAGUAAAAUUUUAAAUUACAAGUGUAUUCUUUCAUAGUAUAAGACAACAUGAUAACUAAUCAAAAUAAAAGAGGAGUCUUGAUUUCUUCGUCUUCACAAAACCUGGUCGUCAUACCUGUCUAUUUGUGACCUGAGAAUAGAAGUUAUUUUGAAAGCGAGUAUCAGCAAUAAAGCUGGUGAAUUCAUAAGUAUUAAUGUGUCUUUGAUUUGUAAAACUUGUAAUGAAAGUCUUGACAUAGUUUUGAAUGAAAGUUCAUAUAAGUAUGUAGAGGUUUGUAAGUAAUGGAAUGCGUUUGAAUAACCUUAGAAAUCCCUAUGAUACCUAUAAAAGAAGUCUUCUACCAAGACCCUACUGUUUUGAAGGUAAGCAUCUCUGUAAAUGUGGUGGUUUUUCCCAGUUUUAACUAUUAGUAUAAGACUAUAGUAUACCUCAUUGUUUAUGUGUAUUAGUCACAUUAUAAAGGUAAUAAGGAAAUUAGUUAUCUAUGUCAAAUAUAUCCUACCUCGUUGAUCAUGUGAAUGUGUAACAAAGUAAAGGAAGAAAUAAUAUAAUGACCUAAGUAUUAUCCUUUUGUACUAGGAUAACUAACAGUGUUAACUUAAGACAUCCGUAGAUGUACAUUUACCUAUGUAGCUAACAGUUGGGUGUAGGAAUAGUUAAUCCCUAAAAGUAUACCUAUAAUGGUAUCAACCGAAGACAUCCGUAGAUGUGCAUUUACCUCUGUAGCUAACAGAGGUUCUAGGAAUGGUUAGUACCACAAAGUAUACUUUGGAACGAGGAUAUAAAGUCCAAUCUAUCUCGUCGAUUAUGUGUUUGUAUCACAAAGUAAAUAUAAGAAGGAGAAUUAUAUAUAACAGUAUCUACACAUAUAAUAUGUAAUAGUAACUCGCCAUAUAACAUCUACGUAAAGGUAUUCAUGUAAACGUACUCAUGCAAGCGUAUCUAUGUAAACGUACUCAUGUAUCAUGUAAUGUACUCAUGUAUCAUGUAAUGUACUAGUAUAGACUCAUGAAUGAACUGACUCUUGUGUGAUUCCCUGCACUUGGAAUAGUAAGUGGUAUCUGCUAACUAUACCUGUAAUAGUUACUAACCGUGUGUAUAACCUGAAGUAUGCCUUUGCUACCCAAAGGUACUGAACUGACUGAGGAAAACUUUUAUGUCUCUAUAUAUAUACAUGAUAUAUAACUGAUAUUUAAACGACCUUCGGACGGAUACCCAAUACCCUACCAGACCACAUCCCAACGGGGAAAAGGAAAUAAAGCGGGUUAGCCUUCCUAAGUCUUUUAAACAUUAUUUAUAUAACUAUACCUAUACAGGCAUGCAAUUGACAAUAUAAAAGCAUAUAAGGAGUUUUAUAAAACCUUUGAAAAAGAUUAAUACCUAAGAAAAGAUCGACUUGAUGUCAGUUUAUAAAACGGUUUGGAAGUAUUUGUUUGACAAAAACAGUUUAAGUAUAAAGGAACCUUUGUUUGACACACAAUGUAACAGGGUUUUAAAUGAACAUACAGUGUUUAAUAAACAGUUUAAUAAGGUGUUUAAACACCUAAAAACGUUUAAGAUAAACAUUUGAAGAAAUCUGAUUGGUAAAACAGUUACGUAAAGUAAAGCCAUUUACAUGUUAGUUAUUAAUCACAUGUGAUUGAUAUAACAACUAAACAUGAUUCAACUUGUAUUCCCCCCUAUAAAUCAUUUAUAAACAUUUAACAACAUUUAAAAGGAUAAUUCAAAGGGGUAUGAACUCACUUGAUUGAUUGUGAGAAAGCGAGAUGAUAAUCGAGCAGAACUUCGACUUGGAAAAGUUGAUUUUAUCGGGAAUCUCAGGAAUUUUGGGAACCUCGGGAAUCUCGGGAACACAAAACCUUCCUUUGGAACUUGAAGGUGAAAACCAGGGCUUUGGGAGGGUUUCAGGGGCUUAAACGCAGAGUUUCGGCACGAGAAAGAAGACAACUGAGCAAUGGAACUCGGAGCCCUUGAAAUCUAUUUAUAGGGUCAUUUUUUGAGUGCCACGUCGUGGCAGAGGGUGUGCCACGUCGUGGUGAGUCAGCCUUAACUUCUUCUAUUGAUUGGACGCUCUCAGUCACUGGCCGGGUCGCGGCAAACUGUGCCAUGUCGUGGCAAGCCUGAUAGCUUCGGAUUUCGGGCCUCGAACUUGUAAAAUCUGUAACUUUUGCGUACGAGAUCCGUUUUCGACAUUCUUUAUAUGCACGCGUCGCUGAAAAUAUUCUCUACAACUCUCGUUUAGACUUCAUCGGCAAAUUUUGAUUUUAUUUUUAAUUAUUUAUUUUUAACAGGUCGGGUCACGAAAAGUCCAUUAGAAAUCCAUAACUUCUUCAUCCGAUGUCCGUUUUCGUCAGACUUUUCGCCGUUGCGCUACUAUUGUUGAAACCUACGAUCCUCAUUUAGGUUGUUUUGGCAAAAAGUCUCUCGAUCUCUAUUUCAAGUUUUUAGCUGUCUGCUGCUAUAUCCGGAUCUUGGAAAAAUCAUAACUUCCUCAUAUGAAGUCAGAUUUGGACGUUCUUUUUACGUACGUUUACGGUUUAAUGUUAUAUACAACUUUCAUUUAGAUACAUAAGGCUAAAAGCUAUUGUAUUCAAACUUUGCGUUUUUUGCUUAAUCCGUGUUGCCGGUUUUGCCGAGAAUCUUUGGUUGGUCAUAACUUCUUCGUUAUAACUCGGAUUUUAGGGUUCUUUAUAUGUACGAAAACCAUGAUACGAUUCCUAGCACUUUAUUUAACCCAAAUAAGCUUUUAGGAAAGUUGAAUUUUGACCUAAAUUUGACUGGUGUUACAUUAUAUUGUUUCGAAAUGUCGGGUUGUCACAUCAUCCCCUUGUUAGAGGGAAUUUCGUCUCGAAAUUAGAGUUUAUGUAGAAUUGAUAACUUUGCUAUAGAUAGAAGUUUCAUUUGAUGCUCGCGUUCCCAGGUGAACUCAGGUCCUCGCUUGGCUUUCCAGCGAACCUUUCACUAUCGGGAUACGACUUUGUUUCUUUCAUUUGACUUCACUAGUAUGAUAACUCUUCUUUCUCGAAUGUGUGUUGAGUGUUUUUGUAGUCUGUGAGAGUAUUACACCUUGUACCCUACAAGUAUUGUCUCCAGAUCUUCAGAGCAAUUACUGCUGCUCAUGACUCAAGAUCACGUGUUGAAUAGUUAACUUCCAGUGUCUUAAGCUGUCUUGAGGUAGAGGCAGUGACCUUUCAUCUUUCUUAAGAACACAACCAAGCCCUUGGUUGGAUGCAUCGCAUUACACCACGAAAUAUUCUAUCCCUUUUGGGAGGGAUAAUAUUGGUGCGAUGCAUCAGGCUUACUUUAGCGUUUGGAACGCUCUUUCUUGUUUACAGACAAGUCCGGUGCUCCUCCAACUGAGAAACUUGGCCUAAAGAAUCCCCUUCUGAGGAGUUUGUUAAGCUCGCUAGGAAGUUCUUGCAUCUCAGUUGGAGCUAGAUGAUAAGGUGAUUUGGCUACUGGGGUAGCCACUGGAACUAAGUCGAUUCUGAAUUCGACUUGAUGUUGUUGUGGUAGUCUCGGUAGUGCUUCUGGAAAGGUGUUGGGAAAGCCACGUACUUCUUGGAUGUUCUGAAUGUCCUUCACUUCUCGGCAUGUCUCGGCGAUGUGUGCAAGGAAUGCAUGAUAUUCCUUUCGUAAGCAUUUCUGAUCUUGCAUACAUAAAAUGAUGAGAGGGUUUGUACUUGGUUCGUCGCUGUAAAUAACUAGAGCUUCGUUGUUUAGGGAGGUUAGGACGAACUGCUUUAUCAAAGCACCUGAUGUCGGCUCGAUGUAGACUUAACCAACUCCUACUAAUUAUGAUGUCAAAACCUUGGGGUGCAUUAGCUGUCGUGAAGAUCUAAAAGAAAGUAUGACUACUCAUGAAUUAGGGAAAAGGAUAGGUAUAUCUAAGUUUAUUCUCACGGAAGCACGAUCACUCGCAGUCUUGGGCAGUCUCCGUCCUGAAGUUCAUAGUAGAACUCAUACCUGGUUCAUCAAUCACCGUCUCGGGUAUACGAGUCGUAUAUAAUUAAGAUUGAAAAGGUGGGUCUUUGGAUUGAACUUGACGUACUGCAUGAGUGGUACUUCAGGGAGGUUUGCUGAGGUUUCUUUGGAAAGGAUAAGAAACAAAAGGUACUCUACGCAUGAGUACUUCGAAGUUCUGAAGUGAUAGUUUCGCUAGAUAGAUGAUUUUGGAGAAAGAGAUUUACGCACGAAACUGGUAUUGUGCGGAUCGAAUUGACUCGAGUUGUAUGAUAAAUCGGAAUCCCUUGGAAAUAAAGGCACUAGAUUUGAUCAUAAAGGCGUUGCAGACAAAACAUAACAGUGAAACUUUUAACAGUGUUACAGUACUUUAGAGUAACUAUAGGAAUACUGCUGCGAACAAAGUAUACUUCAAAAGGCAAGUAUACGCAGCACGAGGGACCCUUAACUGACGGGAUCUCGCAAAAGAUAAGACUUGAGUUGCACUAGUUUUAAACAUGUUUUAAAAACAUACAUAAUACUGACAAUUGGAAGUGAACCUAUACUAUAGUAGGGUCCUUCUUGCCUCUUUCCAUUAUGAGGUCAAACUCCUUCGGAUUCGCCGUCGUUCUCCUCUAUUGGACAGUCCCUCUUGAAGUGUCCCAUUACGCCAUAUAGAUGGCAUAUUCGAGAGAUUUCGACAUUGGUGGUUGAAAUACUGUGUUGGAUCCGACUCUUGCAGUAACGAACAGUGUAUCCCUUUUUUUAUUGUAGUUUAAGCACUGCAUUUUCCGACAAGGUCCAUGAUGGUGAUAGUUGCAUUUCUUGCACUUUGGGAGAUUGCUAGCAUACUGUCUGGCCGGGUUAGGGAUAAUUGGGAUACUAGAAGGGAUGGUAGUAGGAGGUACAAAAGUCGUGGCUGCGAAGUUUGCCAUAGGUUGUUGUCUUUUGCUCGCCCCUUGGGGUGAUUUGCCUUUAGCCUUAGCCCAGAACUUUCGUUUGUUAUUCUUGGGCUUGGGAUUCGGGGUGUCAUGGUAGUUUGUUUCUCGUUGAGGUACUUGAUUGUUACAUGGAUUGGAAUUAUAGUUAACAAUCCCGCUAACAUUCGCGUUGUUAGCGUUAAGGUGGGUCAGAACAACUGACACGGCAGCCGAGACUGUAGCUCGAAAGGUAGUUGCAUCAAUCUGAAGAGUUGGUGUUUGGUUGAUGGGUUGAUCGUUUUUCUUCAGCGACAUGAUUCUGUUACACGGAAAGAGAAUGAAUUUGUGAGCGAGUAUGGUUGAACCUAGACGUAGUUCGAUCGUUCAUGUAAAGAGUAGAAGUAUGUUCUUGAAGGUUUUGACCUACAUCCCUAUGAUGCAGUCCUAGUAUAGAUUAGAAGUAAACUACUAGAAUGGUCUCAAAACGUUUAUCGUCCAAACCAGGGUAUUAUUGGUUGGUGGAUAACAUGAUCCAACCUUUGAAAGAGAAUUGGGAAUGAUCCCUGAGCUAAAUUACCCUAGUCCAAUAAUUUGACUAGAGUGGGUUUCAGAUAGAUCCCAACGAAAGUAUGAUGAAAGUAUUUGAACAAAGAGUGACACAGAAGUUAGCCGACUUUCAAUAUUGAUAUUCAUGACGUAAUAAGUUAGGGAAAAUUGAUCUUGAAGAAGGUCUUACAUCAUAUUCGGAGUAGAAAAAUCUUUGACAGCAUAAAGACUUAACUAAAAGUACUUACAAUACAAGGUAGUCACAUAGAAAGUACUACACAGAACAUAGACAGGAACAUGGUUCUUUAAAACAAAGAAGGAAGUAAGGUAUCUCCUACUGGCGACGAUCACCCCUAUGGUGAACCCUUACUUCGGCUAGUUGACGUUCCAUAUGAAGCAGGCAUCUUUCGUACACCUUAUGGCGUACUUGGAGCUCUAUGACUUCGGCUUGGGUUUCAGCUAGUGCUUGCAGCAGGGGCUCAUGGUUUCUCUCAAAUUUCUCACUUGUGUGUUCAAGGUGAUUGGUGCGGAUGGUAUAAAUUCUUGCAUUGGAAUUAACCUCUUCGAUACGACGGAGAGUCGUCCUACCCUGAAUUUUGUUUCGGGAAACUCUACGGAUCAGGAAUGGUAGAACUUUGUCUACUGAGCUCCCUUCGCUUGAGUGGUAGAAGCUUCAGUCUCCUUUAAACGGCAUAGGUUGAUCUUGCUCUUCGCUCCAUGUUUCCAAACAUUCUACCCAAGGAGGCGUCGGGCCAUGAAAAUCCGGACGAGGGUUAGGAUUUGGAACAAGAGCCAUCGGGGGUAGGUUCUCUAAUUUAGGUUCGGAGUUAGACCCUUCAGCAAUGCCUUCUGCUUGGUGACCAUCCAUAGGGACUUGGUGAUCAACCACUGGCUCCUCUCCGAGCCAUCCAACAUUGUCGUGGUUAGGGAAGUACGGGUUUCCAUGGGGAUGGAAUCCAGCCAUGAUAUCUACGCGAGAAAAGGGAUAAUAAGAACUAACUAAAUAGACGAACUAACUAAGAUAAUUAAAAGAUGAUCUUUAUCAGUUUCUUUAAUACUUGUUCAGUGCAUACCAGUUAUAUGUAUUUACGAUAGGAUAGACCUUCGAAUAAGUGACCCUAAUCCCAAGCCCCCAACCCAACGAGGACAGGACAUAAAGCAAAGAUUCACAGAUUCUAAGUAUAUGACAUCUUAGUACAUAUAACCUUAGUGUAUCUACUAAACAACUAUUGACAUAAUGAUAAAAAUCUAUUUAGUUCUCAGAUAAGCAAUUACAGUAACACUAAAUACCCCUAUGGUAUUUCAUUGUGGUUGUGUUGGUAAGUUUUUCGACUUGUUGCCACAUCACAACCAUUCUUGGGCAUAUGCUAAUCACUCCUCGGACCAGCAUAGUUGAUCAGGCUAUGCCAUUGCCAGGACUGACCAUACAUCCCCAAGCUUACUUGUGAUAUUGUCAUUGUGACACUGAUUUUAGUAUGAAUGCAGGAACGUAUACUUGAUUAAAUAUUUCAUUAUACUUUUAUUCUUGUCAUUGUGACACUGAUUUUAGUAUGAAUGCAGGAACGUAUACUUGAUUAAAUAUUUCAUUAUUUAAAAGUAUAAACUCUUGGUCGAAGUAUUUUAAUCCCAUUGUAUUUAUAGUUAGUAUAUCUUUUAUGGGUUGAUAUACUCAAUUCACUAUUAACAAUUCUCUGAUACCAAUCUGUCACACCCCAAAACAGAGAACGGUGGAAACGUUCUGGGGCGGAGGACGUCAUGUAAUGUAUCACAACAAUGUAAAGUAGUAAACAAGCAACAACAUCAUCCAUUGCAUUAAUAGUAAAAUUUUAAAUUACAAGUGUAUUCUUUCAUAGUAUAAGACAACAUGAUAACUAAUCAAAAUAAAAGAGGAGUCUUGAUUUCCCCGUCUUCACAAAACCUGGUCGUCGUACCUGUCUAUUUGUGACCUGAGAAUACAAGUUAUUUUGAAAGCGAGUAUCAGCAAUAAAGCUGGUGAAUUCAUAAGUAUUAAUGUGUCUUUGAUUUGGAGAACUUGUAAUGAAAGUCUUGACAUUGUUUUGAAAGAAAGUUCGUAUAAGUAUGUAAAGAUUUGUACGUAAUGGAAAGCGUUUGAAUAACCCUAGAAAUCCCUAUGAUCCCUAUAAAAGAAGUCUUCUACCAAGACCCUACUGUUUUGAAGGUAAGCAUCUCUGUAAAUGUGAUGGUUUUUCACUGUUUUAACUAUUAGUAUAAAACUAUAGUAUACCUCAUCGUUUACGUGUAUGAGUCACACUAUAAAGGUAAUAAGGAAAUUAGUUAUCUAUAUCAAAUAUAUCCUACCUCGUCAAUCAUGUGAAUGUGUCACAAAGUAAAGGAAGAAAUAAUAUAAUGACCUAAGUAUUAUCCUUUUGUACUAGGAUAACUAACAGUGUUAACUUAAGACAUCCGUAGAUGUACAUUUACCUCUGUAGCUAACAACUGGGUGUAGGAAUAUUUAGUCCCUUAAAGUAUACCUAUAAUGGUAUCAACCGAAGACAUCCGUAGAUGUGCAUUUACCUCUGUAGCUGACAGAGGUUCGAGGAAUGGUUAGUCCCACAAAGUAUCCUUUGGAACGAGGAUAUAAAGUCCAAUCUAUCUCGUCGAUUAUGUGUUUGUAUCACAAAGUAAAGAUAAGAAGGAGAAUUAUAUAUAACAGUAUCUACACAUAUAAUAUGUAAUAGUAACUCACCAUAUAACAUCUACGUAAAUGUAUUCAUGUAAAAGUAUUCAUUUAAACGUACUCAUGUAAGCGUAUCUAUGUAAACAUACUCAUGUAUCAUGUAAUGCACUAGUAUAGACUCAUGAAUGAACUAACUCUUGUGUGAUUCCCUUCACUUGGAAUAGUAAGUGGUAUCUCCUAACUAUACCUAUAAUAAUUACUAACCGUGUAUGUGUAUAACCUGAAGUAUGCCUUUGCUACCCAAAGGUAUUGAACUAACCGACGAAAACUUUUAUGUCUCUAUAUGUAUACACGAUAUACAACUAAUAGUUAAACGACCUUCAGACGGAUACCCGAUACCCUACCAGACCACAUCCCAACGGGGAAAAGGAAAUAAAGCGGGUUAGCCUUCCUAAGUCAUUUAAACAUUAUUUAUAAAACUAUAACUAUACAGGCAUGCAAUUGACAAUAUAAAAGCAUAUAAGGAGUUUUAUAAAACCUUUGAAAAAGAUUAAUACCUAAGAAAAGAUCGACUUGAUGUCAGUUUAAAAAACGGUUUGGAAGUAUUUGUUUGACAAAAACAGUUUAAGUAUAAAGGAACCUUUGUUUGACAGACACUGUAACAGAGUUUGAAAUGAACAUACAAUGUUUAAUAAAUAGUUUAAUAAGGUGUUUUAAACACCUAAAAAUGUUUAAGAUAAACAUUUGAAGAAAUCUGAUUGGUAAAACAGUUACGUAAAGUAAAGCCAUUUACAUGUUAGUUAUCAAUCACAUGUGAUUGAUAUAACAACUAAACAUGAUUCAACUUGUAUUCCCCCCCCCCUAUAAAGCAUUUAUAAACAUUUAACAACAUUUAAAAGGUUAAUUCAAAGGGGUAUGAACUCACUUGAUUGAUUGCGAGAAAGUUGAUUUUCUCGGGAAUCUCAGGAACCUCGGGAAUCUCGGGAACACAAAACCUUCCUUUGGAACUUGAAGGUGAAAACCAGGGCUUUAGGAGGGCUUCGGGGGCUUAAAAGUAGAGUUUCGGCGCGAGAAAGAAGAGAACUGAGCAAUGGAACUCGGAGCCCUUGAAAUCUAUUUAUAGGGUCAUUUUUUGAGUGCCACGUCGUGGCAGAGGGUGUGCCACGUCGUGGUGUGUCAACCUUAUCUUCUUCUUUUGAUUGGACGCUCUCAGUCACUGGCCGGGUCGCAGCGAACUGUACCACGUCGUGGCAAGCCUGACAGCCUCAGAUUUCGGGCGUCGAACUUUUAAAAAUCCGUAACUUUCACGUACGAGCUCCGUUUUCGACGUUCUUUAUAUGCACGCGUAGCUGAAAAUAUGCUCUACAACUCUCGUUUAGACUUCAUCGGAAAAUUUUGAAUUUAUUUUUAAUUAUUUAUUUUUAAGGGGCCGGGACACAAAAAGUCCGUUAGAAAUCCAUAACUUCUUCAUCCGAUGUCCGUUUUCAUCAGACUUUUCGCCGUUGUGCUACUAUUGUUGAGACCUUCGAUCCUCAUUUAGGUUGUUUUGGCAAAAAGUCUCUCGAUCUCUAUUUCGAGUUUUUAGCUGUCUGCUGCUAUAUCCGGAUCUUGGAAAAAUCAUAACUUCCUCAUAUGAAGUUAGAUUUGGACGUUCUUUUUACGUACGUUUACGGUUUAAUGUUAUCUACAACUUUCAUUUCGAUACAUAAGGCUAAAAACUAUUGUAUUGAAACUUCGCGUUUUUCGCUUAAUUGGUGUUGCCGGUUUUGCCGAGAAGCUUCGGUUGGUCAUAACUUAUUCGUUGUAACUUGGAUUUUAGGGUUCUUUAUAUUUACAAAAACCUUGAUACGAUUCCUACCACUUUAUUUAACCCAAAUAAGCUUUUAGGGAAGUUAAAUUUUGACCUAAAUUUGACUGGUGUUACAUUAUAUUGUUUCGAAAUGUCAGGUUGUCACAGUGGGGCCGCUCCCCUCUGGGCUCCGACUCUACCCUCUCGUCCAAUGGUGAUACUCAAAAUAGCCGAAGCGGAUGUACUCACCGCUCCUCUUUGAUUCUCAAAUGGUCGACCUCCUUAUCACCAUUCUGAUCGCAUCAAAAAUAACGAGCUUCCCCCCCCCUCAUGGACCAUCCCUGAAAACGUCACCAAACCUGCUUCACCCGUAGCAACCCAGACCACUGAACAGAUUCCGAUAAUGACUCGGAGCAAUCACAAUACACACGGGCUCCGCUCUACUAGGUAGAUCCGUCUAAGAUCUCUCAAAGAUUCCUCGACAUGCUAAAUGGCAUCUGAAAAUCGUUGCUAACGAAUACGAUAGCAGAAAACCGACUCGAGAUCCAAUAUAUCACAAUUACCAAGCAGUAAAAAUAAUUGAUAUCCACCAAAAAUGGUCGAAGAUAGUAUAUCCACAACAUCCGAGGGAAUCCUGACCACCUCCUCCUAUGAUACCUCGAACACCUUGAGAACAUGAUGAACCACCUCAUUCUGAUCCCAACGACAAUCUAAACGCUUGGAACAAAACUUCAUUGCGCAGUUUCUACAAACGUUGCUCUAGAUUCGACCUUUUUGGCCUCUCAAAAGCUGAUCCAAACUCUUGGGUCUCCGCCUGAUACCCUCCAAUAAAUUCACCUGACUCAAACCUCUCUCAUUGAAGCACUCCUAAUAAAUCUUCUGUUCUCGGUUCUGAGAUUCACAUCAUUCAGGGUCUCAUGCUCUGACACACCCAUAAGCUCAAUCGCCAACGGCUGAACUAUAGUAGCUGGAGCAACCUCUGCUCUAAACUGGCUAUAAACUAUUCCCAAUACAUAGUUCCAAUUCCCAAAGCACAAUAAAUCACACAUUUAACUCUUGUCUCCAGAUACAAGAGAUCCAAGGCGAACUCGAAAUCCGAGCAGUCCUUCCACUAAUUAGCUCACCACCGGAGCCGGGACCAAACCCUGAUCCCACCCAUGCGUGCUCAUCCUCAUUCUGCAAAGCAGCUAUUCCCACGAUCAAGGCAUAACCAAGAAUUCUCAUUCUCAUAAGCUUCUCAGAUUUUCCACGACUCUCACUGAUUCGAGUAUGGAUCCUGUGCUUUCAGUAGUACAGGCCCAAUACUACCUUCCACACUUAUCCAUACUUUCCUCAGCAAUCCUCCCGAAUCCUGCAAGUUGCGUCUUCAAACUGAUGCACCCAAGUCUCACUAAACCUCACUACUAACCCACUGAAACAUAUCCCAGGCUUUCCUUGGUUCCAGAACCCACCCAGUCCUCAGCUACCUCAUGAAUAUAGCCAUAUGCAAUAGAGACCAGGUAAUCCUUCGAGUAAGAGACCUAUCCCUAGAACGGUUGCACUCAGAAAAGAGCUACGCAAUAGGGUCAUGUCCAUCACUCUGAGAUUAUCCAGCCUAUGUCCCAUGUAACUUAGCAUAUUCACUUAGUAGCUAACUCACAUCACCAAGAGUCCCACAAAUCACAAAGCAUCCAACAUUCAGACAAUGGAAAAUCUAACCAUCAUAAUCCAAUUGAACCGUUCUAUCUAUACAUCCAAUUCACAAUCAGGUGACGCAUGUCACUAAUCUCAUCCUAGGCUUACCCUAGGGUAAUCUCCGACCCACAAACUAUCAUAUAACAUUCGCUCCAUAUGCUACAACCCAUGCUGUCCACAUCCACCCUUACUAUCGAUUUCCUUAUGCAUGUAAAUUAUACACAGAACAUGAUCCAAUAGACUGCCGAAUAAUACACUCUACCCUAGGACCCCAACCAUACAAGGAACAAGAAAUAAGGCCAAAAGAAUUAUUCUAAGGCUAUAAGAUCCUAACCAUAUACAGUUUUAAAAACAUACACAUUGCAGUUACAAAUACCAACUAUUAUUCUCAUUCCAAUAUGACAUCCAAUAUCCUCAUGGCUACAAGCACCACAUAUCAGGCCAACCUGUUGUUGACUACUCAGCACUAGCAUGUAAGUGUAACACCGUAAAUUUCAAAACAAUUUUUCGCAUUUUAUAAAAACACAAAUCAUUUAACAUUCAUAAAAACAUCAAUGUUUGAAACUCAAUCCAUGCCAUAUAAAAAUCCCAAGAUCUGAUAACAUAAAAAUCCCGUGUGUGUGUACUGAUCAGGCCGGCGCCUUCCCACGGUCAUCGCUAGUACUUGAAACAAAUAACACCAACACUGUAAGCACAAAGCUUAGUGAGUUCCCCAAAAUACCACACAUAACACAUAUUAGCCACUCGAGGUAUAACUCUAUGGGUCCGUGGACCCUACUCUGUGAACCCUCUGGUUCUAACUCUAUGUACCUUCCGGUUCCAACUCUAUAAACAUGCACAACAUAAAUCACAUAGAAAUAAUGCAGUACAACACAUAACAUACAUAUAGCAUACAAAUACUCUGUCACAUAACUCUGAUUACCUACUCAAGGUAAAGUAUAGUGAGAAGACUCACAUUUGGUAUCUCGAUAACUCGCAAAUCUCAGAAAUCACUCGCGCUCGAUCCCCCGAGCUAUAAUCCUUCUAUAACACAAUAUAUCUCUAAUUAACACUUUCACAACUAAGGUUGACUACUCCUAUCAAGUCAACACUGGUCAACUCUUGUCAAUGGUCAAUGGUCAACUUUGACCGGACUCGGCGAGUACACUAGAGCGACUCGGCGAGUCUCUACGUGUUCACUGACUCCCUAGGAUCCUCUCUUGACACGUCGAGUACUUCCCUAACUCGAUGAGUUCCACCUGGAAUGAAUCGUUGGGCCACCACGACUCAACUCGCCGAGUCUCAGGAACAACUCGGCGAGUUCAGGAUUGACUCAGCCCCCUAUUGACUCUCCCUGACUCACUGGGUCAUCCCCCAACCCGGCGAGUCUACUCACUGAACAAUUUACGUGAAACCCCAACCCUACUCGUCGAGUCUCAAGAACAACUCGACGAGUUCAUGCCAUGCACAAACUCUAUUGACCUUCUGAGGUCAGAUCUACUCUCCCAAACCAUAGAUCUGGCCUUCCGAAGCAUGAAUGUCACGUAAAGUUCGAAACUUGAUGCUUGUACAACCCCCACAAGGCAUCAAAAGGAGAUUUGGUCCCAAAAAAGACAACCUAGGUCCAAUAACUCCAUAAUAACCCAAAAAGCUCCAAGGGUUAAGGUCUCUGGACCUCUUUGAGUCCAGAUCCAAGGCACAAACUCGAAGAGGGACCAUUUGCUUCACAUAAUCACUCUCCAAAGGGGUUAGAAAACCCUAACUCUAAAGAUCAACCCUAAAACUGAAGGAGGUUCAAACUAUUACCUCAAAAUGAAGCCUCUGGACUCUGGAUCUGCUGGAAUCUCACCUCCUCCUUGCUCUUGCCACCUUCUUCUUGCUAUACAAGGAAUACAAAGGCCUAAAAGUGACUUCCUCUCUCCCAAAACAAAUUAGCUCUCUUAGGGUUCUCUCAAGGGACUGGUAGCCGCAAUGGGAGUUUAUAAGUGCCCUUAAAUAGGCUCCAAACCCGGGGAAUUAGGGUUUCAUUAAAUAGCAUGGACUCACCGAGUCCACCUUUUGGACUCGCCGAGUCCAGACGCGAACCCGUGCCUAAAGCCGCGAUCAUACUCGGUGAGUUUGAGCUCCAACUCGCCGAGUCUCCUCACAAAUCACCAAAAUUAUAAGAAUGAAUAAUACCUGGGAAUCCGGGCUGUUACAAUUCUCCCCCACUAGAACUAGACUUCGCCCUCGAAGUCUCGCUCUGCAAAUAACUCCGGAUGCUGCUCACGCAUCUCACGCUCCGGCUCCCAAGUCAUCUCGGACCCCUUCCGAUGCUGCCACUGAACCAAAACCAAGGGUACCUCCUUGUUCCUCAGAACCUUGAUUUUCCGAUCUCUGAUUGCCACUGGUCUCUCAGCAUAAUUCAGGCUCGUAUCCACCUGAAUAUCCUCUAAUGGAACCAUUGCCGACUCAUCGGCUAUACACUUCCGCAGUUGCGAUACAUGGAAAGUGUCGUGAAUCUGCCCCAAAUCUUCUGGCAAAUCCAAACGAUAGGCUACCUUGCCUACCCUCGCGACCACCCGGAAUGGACCAAUAUAUCAGGGCCCCAACUUGCCCCUCUUCCUGAAUCGAAUCACUCCUUUCCAAGGAGAGACCUUCAGGAGCACAAAGUCGCCGACCUGAAACUCAAGCUCGGACCGGCGUCUGUCCGCAUAACUCUUCUGACGACUCUGAGCGGUCAACAACCUCUGUCUGACCUGCUGGAUCUGCUCUGUCGUCUGAAGCACGAUCUCUGUACUGCCCAUCACACGCUGUUUGACCUCUCCCCAGCAAAUGGGGGUCCGACACCUCCUUCCAUACAACAGCUCAAAGGGCAGCAUACCAAUGCUCGAAUGAUCGUUGUUGUUGUAGGAAAACUCCGCCAAGGGCAAGUACGUAUCCCAACUCCCCCCGAAAUCCAGCACACAUGCCUGGAGCAUGUCCUCGAGCGUCUGAAUCGUCCGCUCACUCUGUGCAUUUAUCUGGGGGUGAUAUGCGGUAAUAAAAUGCAGCCUAGUACCCAACUCCUCAUGAAACUUCUUCCAGAAUCUGGAAGUGAAACCAACAUCCCGGUCUGAGACAAUCGAGAUCGGCACCCCAUGCCGAGAUACCACUUCCCUUACGUACAUCUCUGCUAACUUCUCUGCGGAGGAGCUCUCACUAAUAGCAAGGAAGUGGGUGCUAUUCGUCAACCUGUCCACAAUUACCCAAAAUGCAUGGAUUCCCUAGCACUCCUUGGCAAUUUGGUGAUAAAAUCCAUGGUGAUCUGUUCCCACUUCCAUUCGGAAACCUCCAAUGGCUGCAACUUACCAUGCGGUCUCUGGUGCUCGGCCUUAACCCUACGGCAGGUCAAGCACCUCUCAACAAACCACGCAACAUCCCUCUUCAUACAGGGCCACCAAUACUCCCUCCUCAGGUCCAAAUACAUCUUAGUGGCCCCAGGAUGGAUCGAAAAUUUCGACCGAUGAGCCUCUUCCAUCAAAAUGGUACGCGCCCCUCCAACAAACGGUACCCAUAUACGACCCUGAAAAGUCAUAAGCCCCCGACUAUCGGUAACAAACUCCGAUACCAACCCAACAACUCGCUCUCUCUUCUGGUUCUCCGAUCUUACGGCCUCAGCUUGUGCUCCACGAAUGGUGUCCAACACCAAAGCCAUCACGGUCAAUCGCAAACAUACACCUUGUAAUGGGGCGCUCUCCGCCAUGCGACUCAGGGCGUCGGCUACCACAUUAGCCUUGCCCGGAUGGUACAGAAUCUCACAAUCAUAAUCCUUGACCACAUCCAACCACCUCCUCUGCCGCAUAUUUAGGUUGGGCUGAUCCAUCAAAUACUUCAGGCUCUUAUGGUCCGUGUAUAUCGUACACCGAACCCCAUACAGAUAGUGACGCCAAAUCUUGAGGGCGAACACCACUGCCCCCAACUCUAGAUCAUGGGUGGGAUACCUCGUCUCAUGAGGUUUCAGCUGCCUCGAUGCGUAUGCUAUCACAUGCCCUCUCUGCAUCAGCACCGCUCCCAACCCCAAGAUCGAUGCAUCACAGUAUACCACAAAGUCCUCCAUCCCCUCCGGGAGGGCUAACACCGGGGCUUCGCAUAACCUUUGGCGAAGCGUCUCAAAGGAGGCCUGCUGCUCGGGGCCCCAUGAAAAAGCGACACCCUUCCGGGUCAACCUGGUGAGUGGCACUGCGAUCUUAGAGAAAUCCUUGAUAAAUCUCCGAUAAUAACCUGCCAACCCUAGGAAACUCCUGAUCUCGGAGGGUGACCUCGGCACCUCCCAACUCAUCACUGCCUCAACUUUGGCCGGGUCGACCAAUAUCCCUUUCUGGUUAACGAGAUGCCCUAGGAACUGGACCUCUCGCAACCAGAAAUCACACUUGGAGAAUUUGGCAUAAAGCCUCUCCGAUCUCAGAACUCCGAGGAUCUCCCUCAAAUGCUCCUCAUGCUGCUCUCUAGAUCUCGAAUAUACCAAAAUGUCGUCGAUGAAUACAAUCACCGACCGAUCCAACAUCGGCCUGCACACUCGGUUCAUGAGAUCCAUGAACACUGCCGGGGCAUUGGUGAGCCCGAAAGGCAUCACCACAAACUCGUAAUGCCCAUAACGCGUCCUGAACGCUGUCUUCUGGAUGUCCUCAUCUCGCACCCUCACCUGAUGAUAUCCAGACCUCAAAUCGAUCUUGGAGAACCAAGAUGCUCCCUGUAACUGAUCGAACAAAUCGUCGAUCCUCGGCAACGGGUAACGGUUCUUGACCGUCAGCUUGUUCAACUCCCGGUAAUCAAUGCACAUCCGGUGUGAACCAUCCUUCUUCUUGACAAACAGGAUAGGCGCUCCCCACGGCGAGCUGCUCGGCCGAAUAAACCCCUUCCCCAGCAGCUCCUGAAGCUGCGAGGAUAACUCUUGCAUCUCUGGAGGUGCAAGGCGAUAAGGCACCUUAGCGAUAGGCGCGGCCCCCGGAACCAAAUCGAUACUGAACUCCACUUGCCUCACAGGAGGCACACCCGGCAACUCCUCAGGAAAUACAUCCGGGAACUCACGCACUAUCGGAACCUCCUCAACUGACCUCGGCCUCUCGGAAUCCACCCGCGUAUCCAUCACAUACGCCACAAAACCCUUACAGCCCUGCUGUAGACACUGCCUCGCCCUAGCGGCCGAACAAAACGCUGAUCCUGAACGUGUACCCUCGCCGUACACCGAAAGAACUCCCCCACUAGGGUCUCGUAUGGUCACCAGCUGUCGCUCGCAGUCGAUAACCGCACCGAAUCUGCUCAACCAGUCCAUGCCCACAAUGACACAGACAUCACCCAUCGCAAUAGGAACCAAAUCAAUCGGGAACUCAACACCGAAAAUCUCGACUACGCACCCUCGGAGAACCUCCGUGGCAUAUAUCACCCUCUCGUCAGCUAUGGAAACUCUCAGAGGCCGACUCAACGCCUCACGACUAACACUGAUAUGCUGACUAAAAGCCAAAGAUACAAAAGACCGACUCGCACCCGAGUCAAAUAACACCAAGGCAGGUACAGAAUUCACAAGAAAAGUACCUACGCAUAACAUAAUAUAAGCAUAAUAUCUCAACAUCAAAAUAAAUACACGAAAGAAUACAUACCAGCCACGACAUCGGGCGUUGCGCGGACCUCCUCCGCGGUCAACUGAAAGGCUCUCCCUCGUGCCCUCGGCGCCUCGGCCUUCACUGGCCGACUCUCGGUAGCUCUGAUGGCGGCAGGGGCAGAUCCCUGAGGUGCUCCCUGAGAUGAUCCUCGCAAUUGCGGACACUCUGCCUUCCGGUGUCCGGUCUGGUUGCAGUGGAAACACACUGCAAACCCCUUGGGGCAGUCCUUGGCCAUAUGCCCCUCCUUGCCACAUUUGUAGCAAGAUCCCGCUCUACAGACUCCAUCAUGACCCUUGCCGCACUUCCCACAAGUGCGGCCCUUCUGGCUCCCUGGUUUGGGAUCAGCGGGCUUGGCCCGCUUGGCUGCCGGCUGAGACUGUGCCGGUCGCCGAUCCCUCCCCUGAGACUCCGCCUCCUCCCUGGCCUGAGUCUCUAGCUCAAUCUCCCUCUUCCGGGCAUUUGCCUGAAGCUCGGCAAAUGUCCGGUACGAGGAGUUCGCCACGAACUCCCGAAUGUCUCGCCUCAAGAUACUCAAAUAUCGGCUCAUACGUGCCUGCUCAGUGGACACGUGCUCAGGGCAGAACAUCGCCCUCUCAUGGAACAUCCUGGUAAUCACCGUAACAGACUCAGUACCCUGCUUGAGGGUCAGAAACUCCUGGGCCAAACGCUCCCUCUCCACCUGGGGAACGUACUCAUCUCGGAACAUGGCAGUGAACCUCUCCCAGGUCACUGCCGCAAGCUCAGCAGGCGUAAAGUGCGCCGUCACAAACUUCCACCAGUCCUUCGCUCCCAAGCGAAGCUGGUUCAGCGCGAACCGAACCUUCAAAUGCUCAGGAGAUGAGCAAGUGAAGAAACACCCCUCUAUGUCAGAAAUCCAUCUCAUAGCCGCCACCGGGUCCUGGGUCCCAUCAAACUCUGGCGGUUUUGUGUUGCUGAACUCUCGGAACAGCAACGCAUCACCACCCUGCGGCCUCGCGGCAGCAAUAGCUGCGGUGGCUGCUGCAACAGCAGCCUCAGAAAGAGCAGCAUAACGCUCGUCGAAAGUCUCAAUCAACGUGGUCUUAAUAGACCCGAACAUCUCUGGUAUCUCUGCCCUGAUGGCCGCAGCCACCUCCUCAUGGAUGAUCCGGCGGAUCUCCUCAUCACUGGUCUCACUGCUCUCAGGCAUCAGACGUGUCCUCACCAUGAUCUACCUCUGAAAUACAACAUACGAUAAAUUAGAAUCCAUUCGAGCAUACUCACACUCGACAACUCAUCCCUCCUUGAUCCUUGGUAUUCCAAAGAUUCUUACUUGGGCUGUACACCGCUCCGGUGCUUUCAGUAGUACGGGCCCAAUACUACUGUCCGCACCGUAUCAGAAUACACCCCAAGUCCUCCUCUUCGGAUCCCAAAUUCCAAGUACUCUAUCAUGCAUAAUCCACUCUCUAACAGAUCUCUCAUAAGCCCCUCGCUGCUACCUACUCACUCUCAAGCAUCUCAUAGCAGCUCACCUCUCCCUAGGCUAAGGCAUCACAAAUCAGGCCACUCUAGUCCUAAUAGGAGUACCUAGCCUACUCUAGCAUGAGAAUACAUCAUAUCAAUAUCAAUAUCACAUAACAUGAGGGUAUUUUGGGAAAUCACCGUUUGGGCGCAGACUGAUCGUACACGCAACUUUGCUCUGCCUUUUUCCAAAAAUCCUUUACUCUUUUUGAAAAUACUUCUCAAAUCCUCAGUUUGAGUUCAAAUACGCCCGAAGGUGUACUCGAAUCCCUCAAACCAAGGCUCCGAUACCAACUUGUAACACCGUAAAUUUCAAAACAAUUUUUCGCAUUUUAUAAAAACACAAAUCAUUUAACAUUCAUAAAAACAUCAAUGUUUGAAACUCAAUCCAUGCCAUAUAAAAAUUCCAAGAUCUGAUAACAUAAAAAUCCUAUGUGUGUGUGUGUGUACUGAUCAAGCCGGCGCCUUCCCACGGUCAUCACUAGUACCUGAAACAAAUAACACCAACACUGUAAGCACAAAGCUUAGUGAGUUCCCCAAAAUACCACACAUAACACAUAUUAGCCACUCGAGGCUAUAACUCUGUGGGUCCGUGGACCCUACUNCUGGUUCUAACUCUAGGAACCUUCCGGUUCCAACUCUAUAAACAUGCACAACAUAAAUCACAUAGAAAUAAUGCAGUACAACACAUAACAUACAUAUAGCAUACAAAUACUCUGUCACAUAACUCUGAUUACCUACUCAAGGUAAACUAUAGUGAGAAGACUCACCUCGCGUAUCUCGAUAACUCGCAAAUCUUGGAAAUCACUUGCGUUCGAUCCCCUGAGCUAUAAUCCUCCUAUAACACAAUAUAUCUCUACUUAACACUUUCACAACUAAGGUUGACUACUCCUAUCAGGUCAACACUAGUCAACUCUGGUCAAUGGUCAACUGUAACAUCCCGAAAAUAGCAAGAGUAGAGUUGAAGGGCUAAAAGUGUUAAUUGGGAAAGAGUGACUCGGCGAGUCCAUGGAUGGACUCGGCGAGUAGAGUCGUGACUUGGUCGCGUGUUAAGUAGAAGACUCGGCGAGUCAAUGAGAUGGACUCGGCGAGUAGGCGCUGUGUGGAGAAAACCCUAAUUCUCAGGGUUGAGCCUUAUAUAAAGAACAUUAUGUUUCCUCCCCAGCCCCUUUAUCACCCCCUUUGAAUCCCAGAAACCCUAAAUCGCGAUGAAGCACCAUUGUUGAGUGGAUUGGAGCUUGGAGAAGUAAUUGUUGAAGAAAGUUUGGGAGUUUGAAGGUGUGGAACAAGGGGCUUUGCUUGGAAUCGAGUUUCCUUGCAGUUGGGGCGUUAUUUUGAGGUAAUAUCUCGUUCUUAGGCUAUUGCUAUCUUGUUUCUUCAUUUUGGGGUUUGAGGGAAGCUUAUCUUGGGCUAUAUGGGAAUCUAGAGGUUAGAUCUGAGGUUGCUACCUCAGAUCUGAGAUGGAGAAGGAUCAGAGAGCAUGAAAGUCCCUGUGUUGGAGUAUUUAGUGAAGCCUUCAUGUCCCAAACCCUAGCCCAAAGUGCAAAUGGCCUAGAUCUCUUUGGAUUCAUGUAAAGUUUGCCACUUUACGUGAUGGAUGAGUGGUAGGAGGCUAAAUCUAUGUUUUAGAGCAAUUGCAUGGCCUGGAAUGGUUCUGUAUGGAUUCAAACCGGUGGUACUCGGCGAGUCACAUGGGUGUACUCGACGAGUUGGUUGAAGAUGAGCUGGGACUCGACGAGUUGGAAGAACAACUCGGCGAGUUGGAUGAAGAUGGCCUGGAACUCGGUGAGUUGUAUGAACAACUCCGCGAGUAGGUUGAAGAUAGCCUUAGACUCAGUGAGUCUGUUCUUGAACUCGGCGAGUCUUGUCGAAGAGUCCCGAUGUUCUCUGGUUGAGUCGAGAAUCGGUGAGUCAAGGGAUGACUCGGUGAGUUGUGUGCGAGUGGAUUCAGAGUCGUUGGACUCGGCGAGUCUCGGGGUGACUCGGCGAGUUAGGUCGCGGAUUGAGUGAAGUUAUGGGUAUGGAAACUCGGCGAGUCAUCGGGUUGACUCGGCGAGUAGAGUCAGUCAGGGGUUGACUUUGACCUUGUCUUUGACCAAGGGUUGACCAGUGGUUUCCAGGGGCAUUUUGGUAAUUGUUGAUUAUUGUUUUGAGUUCAGUGCAUUGGUGGUUGUCUAGUGGUGGAGAUCAUAUCUGUGAUCGGAGCAGCUUGGGUUAUCGGUUCAGUCGGCAGUUUCGAGGUGAGUUAUCCUCACUAUAUCGACAGGGUCUACGGCACCAAGGCCGGCCCUUAUCGGAUUGAGAUCCGGGUAGUUGUUAUGUUAUUAUUAUGAUAUGUUUGCACCCUGAGAGCUAGGGUGGUUUAUGUUGGAGACCUGAUUGAGAUCGGUAUCCUGAGAGAUAGGGAGAUGCUAUGCUAGUGACCGGUUAGGUCGGUAUCCUGGUUAGGAUGAUGAUAUGCUACGUGAUCUGUUUGAUCUGCUUGUUGACUGUGAAUUGCUAUAUGAUUGUAUGUAUAUGUGCACAUGGUUGUUUGGACUGGAGUUGGGUUGAGGCGGGUCCAGCUGUGUGCUGUAGGCCAAGAUACCCAGGGCGGACCGGUUGUCCCGAAGGCCCAGCGAGCGGUCCGGAUAGGCUGUAGGCCCCAAAAGGGCGGACCAGACGUGCCGAAGGCUCGGAGAGUGGACCAGAUAGACUGAAGGCCCGGUGCGGGCGGACCAGUCAUACUGUAGACUCAGAGAGUGGACCAGGUGGAUUGAAGGCCCGGGACCGGGCGGACCAAUCACACUGUAGACUCGAUGUAUGUGGAUAGACUCAGAGGGUGGACCAGGUGGACUGUAGGCCGGUGCGGCGGACCAGUCACACAGUAGACCCGAAGUGCAUGGCUGUUCUGUGAUCGGAUAUGUUAUGGCAUGUUAUGCGUGUAUGGUAUUUGUGGUUGGUAUUUUGGGGAUAUCUCACUAAGCUUUCGGGCUUACAGUUGUGGUUUCAUGUUUUUCAGGUUCUUCAGGAGACUGUGGCAAGGCGAAGGCGUGAUCGUACCGCUCCUCAUGAUUUUGUAGUAUUGUGAUUCUGGGAACACGUUAAAUGUUUUGUAUUGAAAACCUUUUUGUAAAGAUUUAAUGGAAUCGAGAUGUUUUUGAAAAAUUUAAAAUUGGUUGUAUUUUUCGGUCGUUACAAGUUGGUAUCAGAGCCUUGGUUUGAGUGAAUUGGAGGAACAUUCGUGUGACUCCAGUCUCAAAUCGAGGAGAGUUUUCAAAAGAGUAUUUAAAAUGGUUUUCAAAAUGAGUAAGGGAGGACGCGGAGGUACGAUCAGCCGGAGCCAGUAAGUAACCCCAAAAUACCAUGCAUGUUAUUUGUUUUUGAGCUUUGAUAGAACAGCAUGCUAGUGAUAGGCUAGGGAUCUUCAGGAUUUCAUGAUAUGUUGCCUGAUUUGUGAUGCCUGUAGCCUAGGGUUCCUUAUGGGAUAUUUUCAGUGUUCCUCUAGUGGUGAGGGUUGAGCGUUGUUAUGCAUGUUUCUCUAGGGCGUUGUGGUAGUACUUCAUACAAAUAUGGGUAGGUGUGGAAGGUAGUAUGGGCCCGUACUACUGAAAGCACAGGACCCAUACGCGUAUCAGGGAAACCAUGAUCUCUAGGGUUGGGUGGAGAGAGUUGGAUCCCAGGUUGGUGGGAAGAGUCUGAGAUUUUGUGUGGUGUUUUUCAGUAUGGAGAUUCCGAGGCAUGAUGAGAGUGGAUCCGGAUCAGGAUCGGGAGCUGGAGAGAGAGUUCCGGGCGGAUCGGUGCCGCCCGAGGUUAUCGGUCAGAUGAGCACGAGCGAGUUGGAUGCGAGGAUUCGUGAGAUCCUGCGUGAUGAGAUUGCUGAGUUGUUCCGGGCUGAGUUGCCAGAGCUGUUUGGGUCGAUUAAGACCGCCAUGGUUGAGUAUUUUGAUGAGCGCUAUGCAGCUCUCACUGAGACGGCUGUCGCGGCGGCUACAGCGGCUGUAGCAGCGGCAGGGGGAGGAGCUGGUCGGGGUUUUCAGUAUCGGGACUUCGAUAAUACGAAGCCUCCCACCUUUGAUGGAGUUCAGGACCCGAUUGUUGCUAUGAGGUGGUUAUCGGACGUGGAGGGGUGUUUCUUCACGUGUUCAUGCCCUGCUGAUCAGAGGGUGAGGUGUGCUCUGAACCUGUUGAGGCUCGGGGCGAAGGAUUGGUGGAGAUUGACCACGGGGUCAUAUUCGGAUGCGCAGAGGGCUGCGGUUUCAUGGGAUCAGUUCAGAGAGAUGUUCAGCACUCGUUAUGUUCCGCAAGUUGAGAGGGAGAGAUUGGCUCAGGAGUUCCUUGAGCUGAAGCAGGGUUCGGAGUCGGUGACUGAGAUCACCAGGAUGUUCACUGAGAGGGCGAUGUUUUGCCCAGAGUUCGCUUCGGAGCAGGCUCAGAUGUCUCGAUAUCUGAGCAUGCUCAAGAGGGACAUCAGACAGUUUGUGUCUGCGCAGAGGUGCGAGACCUUGUUGGAGUUGCAGGAGGCCGCUAGGCGGCGUGAGUUAGAGAUUGAGUUGCAGUUGCGUGAGCUGAGGCAGGCUCCGGUGCAGUCGCAGCCGGCGCCGAAACGGUCCAAGACCGUUGAUGUUAGAGUGGGGGAUCUGAGCAGCCACACUUGUGGGAAGUGUGGGAGGGGUCACACCGGAGUUUGUAGGUCCGGUGGUGCAUGCCGCAAGUGCGGAAAGGAGGGGCACUAUGCGAGGGAUUGUCGGCAGUCAGCGCCGGUUCGGGAUUUGAGGAUUUGUUAUCAUUGUCAUCAGGUUGGGCACUUGAGGGUCAACUGUCCACAGCUUGCUGCAGGACCGGUGCAGGCUCCAGCACCGGCCACUUUGAGGAUCACGGGUGGAGGUCAGGGUGGAGCGGAGCCCCCAAGGGCUCAGGGUCGUGCUUUUCAGCUUACAGCAGAGGAGGUCAGAGCAGUGCCGGAUGCAGCUGCGGGUAUGUUUCUUUCUUGAUGUCUUGUUAUCUUGUGAUUAUUGUGGAGUAUUGUUUAUGUGCUAGUCUCUUUGUGUGGUUUUCGGUGUGGUAUUCGUUGUUCUUUGAGAGUUAUGGUAUGGUUAUGGGUUAGUGAUGGGAAUUUCGUUGGUUAUCAUUCAUGAGGGUUAUUAGUGGAAAUCUGGCGUUGGUCUGAAUGCCGGGUAGCAUCUGCUUUCUGAGGAGUGGUUAGCUGCAGAUUGAGUUUCUUUCGAGCGGGAUGAUCAGUGUGGAAAUGUGAUUUUUGUGAAGGUUGUUAGUGCUAGUGGGAAUCAGUCCGCGUGUAAGUGUUGGUUUUGUGCAGGGUUGUUUUGGGAGGUCGGUGAUAGCGACCGGUGGUUGAUAGUCAGUGCCCUAAGUGGGGGAGAAUUGGAAAAUUCUCCGGAAGAUCGAUGAGCAUGUGAGGUUGUUUAGCUGUUUGGGAUUCAGCAGUGUUCUGUCAGCCAAGAGCGUAGGCUGGUAUGAGUAAGUGGCAGGCAUGCGGGGCGGGAUACAGACCAAGGGUAUUUGAUUGUGGAGGGCCUGGGAUCAGGCCGGGAUUGAGUAUGUAUGAUGGAGAUAGAGUUCGGAACCCCUAGAGGGCUAGAACAGUAUGCAUGGGAGGAUUUCCCGGAGAGAUAACUCGGAAUGAUGAAUGCUAGUUGAGCGGUCCGGAUAGACUGAAGGCCGGUAGGCGUACCAGUCAGGCCGAAGGCUCGGAGAACGGUCCAGCCAGACUGAAGGCACUGGAGGGCGGUCCAGAUUGGCUGAAGGUUCUGAGAGUGGUCCAGAUUGGCUGAAGGCCUGGUAAGGCGGUCCAGUCAUGCUGAAGACUCUGCAGGUAUUGUUAGAUCGGUUCGAGGAAAUGGAUUGAGUAUGUCGCGAUGUGUUAGCAUUAGAAGGUCUGGCCCCGGGUAUUGAUCUUGAUUAGUGGAGAUAGUGCAUGGACUCGAGAGUCCUUGCGAGCAGAUUCAGAGCAUGUGUGUUGCAUGGAUAGCGGUUAUGCUAUAAGGGAGUGGUGUAGCAUCGGGCGAGCACCGUGGCACUUGUCGUAGUGACGAGGCGGCCAAGUGGAUUUCCUUGGUAAGGAAAGAGAGAGGAAUGUAGUGCCGAGAGGGAGUGUAAGUUCACGGAAGUGAAAGCAGCAGCGCAGAGUUAUGAUUGGAGUGGUCCAAUUAUGGUCAUUGAGCAGCAUGAUUGCGGCAGUGGUAUGGGAUCACAUCCGGAAUGGAUGUCUGCUGAGGUCGCGGAAGGGAUUCCGCGGGAGUAGAGCCGAGAGGCUCGGAAGGGGUGCAGGGAUGGGGUCUUAGAUUCCCAGUUUGAUUCUGAUCAAGGAAUUGUGUAUGUAGUGGCGAUUCAUCCUGGGGGAUGUUUGGAGGUGUCGUCAGUGUGACGGGUUUUCCUAACCCGAGGGUGUUAGAGCUAGUGCAGCAUGUGCAUGCGAUUGCAAGAGGAGAACUCAUGGGAGUUGCUCUGAGGCUGAAGAAUGUGUUGUUCUGUCAGCAUGGGAUGGUUAGAGUUGGACUCGGAUCGGGAACCCGGUGGUUUAGGGUUAUAUCUAGCUCGUAAGAGCCAAGUGAUUGUUGUGAUCAGGAUCGAGAAAGUGCCAUGGAGUGGUACUCGGUUGAUAAGUGUGGAGCCUGAUUGGUGUGGUUAUCAGAGGGUGAAGCCGGUGGCUGGCUUGAGGCAAUAGUCAGGACACCGCUAGAAAGAAGAAAACGAGUUUCGGGUUUCGAUGGUUGCGUCUUGAGGAACCUGGUUGGGUUAAUGCCAGGUGGUGCGUGGCGGGAGAAGUUCUGGAGUAGAUAUGCCGAAGGCUUCGAGGGCGAAGCCUAAUUUAAGUGGGGGAGAAUUGUAACGCCCCGUUCCUAAGAGUACCUAAUUGUGAGUCCCCGGGAUUUAAGAGAAAUGAUAUUUUGGUCAUCUUGUGGGAAAAGUGGAAAAUGAGGGGCAAGUAUGAAAUUUGGGGACUCGCCGAGUACGCCCAGCGUAAGGUGGGAUUACGCCCAGCGUAAGGCGUAUAUGGACGCGGGUGCAAGGCUGAGUACGCCCAGCGUACUAGAGGUACGCCCAGCGUACUCUCAGAGUUCUAAAACCCUAAAAUUAGGGUCAGCCACUAUAUAAGGAACAUGUUGGUGCAUACCCUAGCCUCCUUAAGCUCACCCUUAACCUCAGAAACCCUAGAAACCCGUAUUCCCUCCAUUGUUGGGUGUGUUUGGCCUUGGAAAGCUCAUUUUGGCAAAAGAAAAGCUAGAAGAAGAAAGGAGAAGUUGUCAAAGAAGGAAAGGAACGAUUGGAGCUUGUAGAUCUGAAGAGAUAUCAUCCUUUGGAGCUUAUUUGAGGUAUAAAGCUUCUUGCUUGCCAUUUAUUUUGCAUAGAUCUAAGUGUUGUGAAGUUUUAGCAUCUUUCUUGUCCCAAAGUUCUCAUCUUGAUUCAUGCUUUGUGUUGGCCGAGAUUAUCUGUCCUUUCAGACCUUUGGAGAGGUCUUGAGUGAGAAAAAUGAGGUCCCAAGGGUUGUAGUUGUUCCAUGUGUGAGAUAUAUAGGUCUUAAUGGAUUAAGACCUUAGAUUAAAAGCUUUUGGACGUCCCAAGUGAUAAAGUUUGAGACUUUAUGAAUCUUAGGCGUAUUUAGCCUAGGGAUCUGAAGUUUGGGCUUAAGAGCUUAAGCCAUUAAGAGGUUAUAAGGACUUUAUGAGUAGCGAAGUUACGCCCCGCGUAACAUGGUUGUACGCCCCGCGUAGCGGGUCAGGGCCCCGAUCCUCAGCUGCGUUUUAGUGUGUACGCCCCGCGUACCAAGGAGGGUACGCCCAGCGUACUCCCCCUGAUUGGACCUUAAUAUUGGGCCUUAGAGUUUGGGCCGUUUGUGGGUAGUUGGUUUAUGGGCCAAGUCUGGAAAUUAUGGAUAGAGUGUUUUGGGCCCAAUUAUUGUUAUGGACCUUGGAUCUAGGCCCAUUUGGUGAGGUGGGCCCAAUUUGGUAAAUUGGGCCAAUAUUGGACUUUGUAUAAGAUUUGGACUUUGGCCUUGGCCCGAUAAGUGGAUGUAUGCUUGGCCUAAUGUUUAUUUUGUUGAUGGCUAGUUCGGGAUUUGCGGUGAGUUGGUGAUUCGAGAACCUGCUCUUCAGUUCAGAGUUUCGGCAGUGCGAGGUGAGUUAUCCUCACUAUAUCGACAGGGUCUAAGGCACCAAGGCCGGCCCUUUAUCGGAUUGAGAUCCGGGUAUUUGUUGUUAUGUUAUUGCUUUGAUAUGUUUGCAUCCUGGUAGCUAGGAUGGUAUAUGUUAGAGACCUGGUUAAGGUCGGUUCCCUGAUAUGUAGGGUGAUGCUAUGCUAGUGACCGGUUAGGUCGGUAUCCUGGUUAGGAUGAUGAUAUGUUAUGUGAUCUGUUUGAUCGGCUUGUUGACUGUGAAUUCUUAUAUGAUUGUAUGUUUAUGUGCACAUGGUUGUUUGGACUGGAGUUGGGUUGAGGCGGGUCCUGCUUUGUGCUGUAGGCCAAGAUACCCAGGGCGGACCGGUUGUCCCGAAGGCCCAGCGAGCGGUCCGGAUAGGCUGUAGGCCCCAAGAGGGCGGACCAGACGUGCCGAGGCUCGGAGAGUGGACCAGGCCGACUGAAGGCCCGGUGCGGGCGGACCAGUCAUACUGUAGACUCAGAGAGUGGACCAGGUGGAUUGAAGGCCCGAUGCGGGCGGACCAAUCACACUGUAGACUCGAUGUAUAUGGCUAGACUCGGAGGGUGGACCAGGUGGACUGUUGGCCGGUGCGGCGGACCAGUCUCACAGUAGACCCGAAGUGCAUGGUUGUUCUGUGUUCUGUUAUGUUAUGUAUGCUAUGUAUGAUAUGGGCCGGAAGGCACUAUGUUAUGGGCCGGAAGGCAUUAUGAUUUGGACCGGAAGGUCGUAGCCUGGAAGGGCGUAUGUGUGGUUGGUAUUUUGGGGAUAUCUCACUAAGCUUUCGGGCUUACAGUUGUGGUUUAAUGUUUUUCAGGUUCUUCAGGAGACCGUGGCAAGGCGAAGGCGUGAUCGUACCGCUCCUCAUGUUUAUGUUGUGAUGUGAUUCUGGGAAUACUCUAAAUAAAUUGUAUUGAAAACCUUUUUGUAAUAAUUUAAUGAAAUCGGGUUGUUUUUGAAAAGUUUAAAUUGGUUGGAAUUUUUCGGUCGUUACAAGUUGGUAUCAGAGCCUUGGUUUGAGUGAAUUGGAGGAACACUCGUGUGACUCCAGUCUCAAAUCGAGGAGAGUUUUCAAAAGAGAAUUUAAAAUGGUUUUCAAAAUGAGUAAAGGAGGACGCGGAGGUACGAUCAGCCGGAGCCAGUAAGUAACCCCAAAAUACCAUACAUGAUAUUUGUUUUUGAGCUUUGAUAGAACAGCAUGCUAGUGCUAGGCUAGGGAUCUUCAGGAUUUCAUGAUAAUGUUGCCUGAUUUAUGAUGCCUGUUAGCCUAGGGUUUCCUUGUGGGAGAUUUCCAGUGUUCCUCUAGUAGUGAGGGUUGAGCGUUUGUUAUGCAUGUUUUCACUAGGGUGUUGUGGUAGUACUUCAUACAAAUAUGGGUAGGUGUGGAAGGUAGUAUGGGCCCGUACUACUGAAAGCACAGGACCCAUACGCGUAUCAGGGAAACCAUGACCUCUAGGGUUGGGUUGAGAGUUGGUUCCCGGGUUAGUGGGAAGUGUCUGAGAUUUUGUGGUGUUUUUUAGUAUGGAGAUUCCGAGGCAUGCUGGGAGUGGAUCCGGGUCAGGAUCGGGAGCAGGAGAGGGAGUUCCGGGCGGGUCAGUACCGCCCGAGGUUAUUGGUCAGAUGAGCACGUGCGAGUUGGAUGCGAGGAUUCGUGAGAUCCUGCAUGAUGAGGUUGCUGCGUUGUUCCGGGCUGAGUUGCCGGAACUGUUUGGGUCGAUCAAGACCGCCAUGGUUGAGUAUUUUGAUGAGCGCUAUGCAGCUCUCACAGAGACGGCUGCCGCGGCGGCUACAGCGGCUGUAGCAGCGGCAGGGGGAGGAGCUGGUCGGGGUUUUCAGUAUCGGGACUUCGAUAAUACGAAGCCUCCCACCUUUGAUGGAGUUCAGGACCCGAUUGUUGCUAUGAGAUGGUUAUCGGACGUGGAGGGGUGUUUCUUCACGUGUUCAUGCCCUGCUGAUCAGAGGGUGAGGUGUGCUCUGAACCUGUUGAGGCUCGGGGCGAAGGAUUGGUGGAGAUUGACCACGGGGUCAUAUUCGGAUACGCAGAGGGCUGAGGUUUCAUGGGAUUAGUUUAGGGAAAUGUUCAUCACUCGUUAUGUUCCGCAGGUUGAGAGGGAGGGAUUGGCUCAGGAGUUCCUUGAGCUGAAGCAGGAUUCGGAGUCGGUGACUGAGAUCACCAGGAUGUUCACUGAGAGGGCGAUGUUUUGCCCUGAGUUCGCUUCGGAGCAGGCUCAGAUGUCUCGAUAUCUGAGCAUGCUCAAGAGGGAUAUCAGACAGUUUGUGUCUACGCAGAGGUGCGAGACUUUGUUGGAGUUGCAGGAGGCCGCCAGGCGGCGUGAGUUAGAGAUUGAGUUGCAGUUGCGUGAGCUGAGGCAGGCUCCGGUGCAGUCGCAGCCGGCGCCGAAACGGUCCAAGACCGUUGAUUCUAGGGUGGGAGAUCAGAGCAGCNUGUGGGAGGAGUCAUACCGGAGUUUGUAGGUCUGGUGGUGCAUGCCGCAAGUGCGGAAAGGAGGGGCAUUAUGCGAGGGAUUGUCGGCAGUCAACACCAAUUCGGGCUUUGAGGAUCUGCUGUCAUUGUCAUCAGGUGGGACAUUUGAGGGGCAACUGUCCACAGUUUGCUGUAGGAUCGGUGCAGGCUCCAGUACCGGCCACUUUGAGGAUCACCGGUGGAGGUCAGGGUGGAGCGGAGCCCCCAAGGGCUCAGGGUCGUGCUUAUCAGCUGGUGGUAGAGGAGGUCAGAACAGUGGCGGAUGCAGCUGCUGGUAUGUUUCCUUCUUGAUGUCUUGUUAUCUUGUGAUUAUUGUGGUGUAUUGUUUAUAUGUGCCGAUAUAUUCGCGUGGUUUUCGAUGCGGUAUUCGUCGUUUUGCGGGUUGUGGUUUUGGUUAUGGGUUAUUGUUUUGGGAAUUCGUCAGUUAUCUUCCAUGAGAGUUUUAGUGGGAACCUGGCAUGGGUUUGAAGGUCAGGUAGCAUCGGCUUUCCAAGGAGUGGUUAGACGCAGUCUGAGUUUUCCUUCGAGCAGGUUAAUCGGUGUUGAUGUGAGAUCUCGAUGAGGUUGUUUAUGGUUGUGGGAAGCAGUCCACGUGUAAGUGUUUCCUUGUGCAGGGUUGUUCUGGAAGGUCACUGAUGGCGACCGGUGACUGUUAAUCAGUGCUAUAAGUGGGUGAGAAUUGGAGAAUUCUCUGGGAGAUCGAUGAGUAUUUGAGGGUGCUUAGCUGUUGGGAUUCAGCAAGUGUUCUGUCAGCCCAGAGUAUAGGCUGAUAGGAGUAAGUGUCGGGCAUGCGGGGCGGGAUACAGACCUAGGGCAUUUUAUAUUGGAGGGCCUGAGAGCAGGCCAGGAUCGAGCAUGUGAGUUUGAGGCAGAGUUCGGAACCCUUAAAGGGCUAGAACAGUACGCAUGGGAGGAUUUCCGGGAGUGUUAGCUCGGAAUGAUGAAUGCUAGUUGAGCGGUCCGGAUAAACUGAAGGCCGGUAGGCGUACCAGUCAGGCCGAAGGCUCAGAGAACGGUGCAGCCAAACUGAAGGCAAUGAGAGCGGUCCAGAUUGACUGAAGGUUCUGAGAGUGGUCCAGAUGGGCUGAAGGCCUGGUGAGGCGGUCCAGUCAUACUGAAGACUCUGUAGGUAUUGUUGGUUCGGUUCGAGGAUAUCGAUUGUGUAUAUUGCAGUGUGAUUGCUUUAGAAGGUCUGGCCCCGGGUAGUGAUCUUGAUUGGUUGAGAGAGUGCAUGGGCUUAAGAGUCCCUGUGAUGAGAGUCAGAGUAUGUGUGUUGGAUGGAUAGCGGUUACGCUAUAAAAAGGGGUGGUGUAGCGUUGGGCGAGCACCGUGGCACUUAUCAGGUGACAAUGUGCCCAAGUGGAUUCCUUGGUAAAGGAAGAGAUAGAGGUAAGAGGUGUGUAACUCCGAGAGGGAGUGCAAGUGCACGGAAGUGAAAGCGGCAGAGCAGAGUUAUGAUUAGAGUAUUUUGAGUAUGGUUCUUGAGCAGCGUGUUUGCGACAGUGGGAUAGAAGCUCAUCCGGUUUGGGAUGUCUGCUGAGGUCGCGGAGGGAAUUCCGCAAGUGUAGAGCCAAGAGGCUCGGAAGGGAUGCAGAGAGAGAGUCUUGGACUCUCAGUGUGAUUCUGAUCAGGGUAUUGGGUAUGUAUUAGUGGUUCAUCCUGGGGGAUGUUUGAGGAUAUCAUCAGCAUAUCGGGUUUUCCCAACCUGAGGGUGCUAGAGCUAGUUCAGCAUGUGUAUGUGAUUGCAAGAGGGGUUGUUCAGAGAUUGAAGAAUGGGUCUUUCCGUCAGCAUGGAAUGGAUAGAGUAAGAUUCGGAUCGGGGAUCCGAUGGUUCAUAAUUUUAUAACCAUAUGAGUCGAGUGAUGUCUGGGAUUUGGGAGCAGUGUUGCAUCAUGAGUAGUACUCAGUUGUCAAGUGGAGUUAUCAGAGGGUGAAACUGGUGCCCGGUUUGAGACGAUGGUCAGGACGUCGUAAGGAAAGAGAAAGUGUGCUUGAGUUUCGAUGGGUAUGUCUUGAGGGACUUGGCCAGGGUUAGGCUAGGUGGCGCGUUGUGGGAGUAUCUUUGGGAUUGAAUUGCUGUAGGCUUCGAGGACGAAGCCUAAUUUAAGUGGGGGAGAAUUGUAACAUCCUGAAAUAUCAAGAGUAGAGUUGAAGGGCUAAAAGUGUUAAUUGGGAAAGACUGACUCGACGAGUCCAUGGAUGGACUCGGCGAGUANGUCGCGACUUGGUCGCGUGCUAAGCAGCCGACUCGGCGAGUCAAUGAGAUGGACUCGGCGAGUAGGCGCUGUGUGGAGAAAACCCUAAUCCUCGGGGUUGAGCCCUAUAUAAAGAACAUUAUGUUUCCUCCCCAGCCCCUUUAUCACCCCCUUUGAGUCCCAGAAACCCUAAAUCGCGAAGAAGCACCAUUGUUGAGUGGAUUGGAGAUUGGAGAAGUAAUUGUUGAAGAAAUUUUGGGAGUUUGAAGGUGUGGAACAAGGGGCUUUGCUUGGAAUCGAGUUUCCUUGCAGUUGGGGCGUUAUUUUGAGGUAAUAUCUUGUUCUUAGGCUAUUGCUAUCUUGUUUCUUCAUUUUGGGGUUUGAAGGAAGCUUAUCUUGGGCUAUAUUGGAUUCUAGAGGUUAGAUCUGAGGUUGCUACCUCAGAUCUGAGAUGGAGAAGGAUCAGAGAGCAUGAAAGUCCCUGUGUUGGAGUAUUUAGUGAAGCCUUCAUGUCCCAAACCCUAGCCCAAUGUGCAAAUGGCCUAGAUCUCUUUGGAUUCACGUAAAGUUUGCCACUUUACGUGAUGGAUGAGUGGUAGGAGGCUAGAUCUAUGUUUUGGAGCAAUUGCAUGGCCUGGAAUGCUUCUGUAUGGAUUCAGACCGGUGGUACUCGGCGAGUCACAUGGGUGUACUCNNNNNNNNNNNNNNNNNNNNNNNNNNNNNNNNNNNNNNNNNNNNNNNNNNNNNNNNNNNNNNNNNNNNNNNNNNNNNNNNNNNNNNNNNNNNNNNNNNNNNNNNNNNNNNNNNNNNNNNNNNNNNNNNNNNNNNNNNNNNNNNNNNNNNNNNNNNNNNNNNNNNNNNNNNNNNNNNNNNNNNNNNNNNNNNNNNNNNNNNNNNNNNNNNNNNNNNNNNNNNNNNNNNNNNNNNNNNNNNNNNNNNNNNNNNNNNNNNNNNNNNNNNNNNNNNNNNNNNNNNNNNNNNNNNNNNNNNNNNNNNNNNNNNNNNNNNNNNNNNNNNNNNNNNNNNNNNNNNNNNNNNNNNNNNNNNNNNNNNNNNNNNNNNNNNNNNNNNNNNNNNNNNNNNNNNNNNNNNNNNNNNNNNNNNNNNNNNNNNNNNNNNNNNNNNNNNNNNNNNNNNNNNNNNNNNNNNNNNNNNNNNNNNNNNNNNNNNNNNNNNNNNNNNNNNNNNNNNNNNNNNNNNNNNNNNNNNNNNNNNNNNNNNNNNNNNNNNNNNNNNNNNNNNNNNNNNNNNNNNNNNNNNNNNNNNNNNNNNNNNNNNNNNNNNNNNNNNNNNNNNNNNNNNNNNNNNNNNNNNNNNNNNNNNNNNNNNNNNNNNNNNNNNNNNNNNNNNNNNNNNNNNNNNNNNNNNNNNNNNNNNNNNNNNNNNNNNNNNNNNNNNNNNNNNNNNNNNNNNNNNNNNNNNNNNNNNNNNNNNNNNNNNNNNNNNNNNNNNNNNNNNNNNNNNNNNNNNNNNNNNNNNNNNNNNNNNNNNNNNNNNNNNNNNNNNNNNNNNNNNNNNNNNNNNNNNNNNNNNNNNNNNNNNNNNNNNNNNNNNNNNNNNNNNNNNNNNNNNNNNNNNNNNNNNNNNNNNNNNNNNNNNNNNNNNNNNNNNNNNNNNNNNNNNNNNNNNNNNNNNNNNNNNNNNNNNNNNNNNNNNNNNNNNNNNNNNNNNNNNNNNNNNNNNNNNNNNNNNNNNNNNNNNNNNNNNNNNNNNNNNNNNNNNGUCCGGAUAGGCUGUAGGCCCCAAGAGGACAGACCAGACGUGCCGAGGCUCGGAGAGUGGACCAGAUAGACUGAAGGCCCGGUGUGGGCAGACCAGUCACACUGUAGACUCAGAGAGUGGACCAGGUGGAUUGAAGGGCCGAUGCGGGCGGACCAAUCACACUGCAGACUCGAUGUACACGGCUAGACGCGGAGGGUGGACUGAAGGCCGAUACGGCGGGCCAGUCACACAGUAGACCGAUACGCAUGGCUGUUCUAUGUUUCGUUAUGUUAUGUGUGUUAUUCAUGUUAUGGGACGGAAGGCAUUAUGUUCUGGACCGGAAGGUCGUAGCUUAGAAGGGCGUAUAGGUGGUUGGUAUUUUGGGGGUAACUCACUUAGCUUUCGGGCUUACAGUUGUGGUUUUAUGUUUUUUCAGGUUCUUCAGGAGACCGUGGCAAGGCGAAGGCAUGAUCGUACUGCUCCUCAUGUUUUUGGUUGUAUUGUGAUUCUGGGAAUACUUAAAUAAUUUGUAUUGAAAACCUUUAUGUAAUGAUUUUAAUGAAGUCGGAUUGUUUUUGAAAAAUUUAAAAUUGGUUGUAUUUUUCGGUCGUUACAUCAACGGUCAACUUUGACCGGACUCGGCGAGUACACUAGAGCGACUUGGCGAGUCUAUACGUGUUCACUGGCUCCCUAGGAUCCUCUCUUGACACAUCGAGUACUUCCCUAACUCGACGAGUUCCACCUGGCAUGAAUCGCGGGGCCACCAUGACUCAACUCGUCGAGUCUCAAGAACAACUCGGCGAGUUCAGGCUUGACUCAGCCCCCUAUUGACUCUCCCUGACUCACUGGGUCAUCCCCCAACCCGGUGAGUCUACUCGCUGAACAAUUUACGUGAAACCCCAACCCUACUCGCCGAGUCUCAAGAACAACUCGGCGAGUUCAUGCCAUGCACAAACUCUAUUGACCUUCUGAGGUCAGAUCUACUUUCCCAAACCAUAGAUCUGGCCUUCCCAAGCAUGAAUGUCACGUAAAGUUCGAAACUUGAUGCUUGUACAACCCCCACAAGGCAUCAAAAGGAGAUUUGGUCCCAAAAAUGACAACCUAGGUCCAAUAACUCCAUAAUAACCCAAAAAGCUCCAAGGGCUAAGGUCUCUGGACCUCUUUGAGUCCACAUCCAAGGCAGAAACUCGAAGAGGAACCAUUUGCUUCACAUAAUCACUCACCAAAGGGGUUAGAAAACCCUAACUCUAAAGAUCAACCCUAAAAAUGAAGGAGGUUCGAACUAUUACCUCAAAAUGAAGCCUCUGGACUCUGGAUCCGCUGGAAUCUCACCUCCUCCUUGCUUUUGCCACCUUCUUCUUGCUAAACAAGGAAUACAAAGGCCCAAAAGUGACUUCCUCUCUCCCAAAACGAUUUAGCUCUCUUAGGGUUCUCUCAAGGGACUGGUAGCCGCAAUGGGAGGCUAUAAGUGCCCUUAAAUAGGCUGCAAACCCGGGGAAUUAGGGUUUCAUUAAACAGCGUGGACUCACCGAGUCCACCUUUUGGACUCGCCGAGUCCAGAUGCGAACCCGUGCCUAAAGUUGUGAUCAUACUCGGCGAGUUUGAGCUCCAACUCGCCGAGUCUCCUCACAAAUCACCAAAAUUAUAAGAAUGAAUAAUACCUGGGAAUCCGGACUGUUACAGUAAGUCUACCAGCUCAUACAACAUAUACAUGCAUCUCCACUAGCCCUAACUAGCAUGUGAUUAACAAAUUCAUAAUCAAAUCAUAACAUAUAACAAGUGUUGGUAUUUUGGGGAAACACUUGAGCUUGGCCGAUUGCAUGCACCACACCCUUUCUUGUCUUAGAAAUCUUCUCCUUGAAAACAUUUUCUUUUGAAAUUUUUUGAAAACCUUACAGCUCCUCAGUUUGAGUUCAGACGCACCCAAAGGUUUCCCUGAAUCCCUCAACCCAAGGCUCUGAUACCAACUUGUAACGACCCAAAAAUUAAGGGUAAAAAUUUCAUUUUUGAUAUAGCUAAAACAUUGAUACCAUAUAUCUCAAACAUUUCAAUCAUUAUUAAGUAAAACAUUUAUCACAGUUCGUCUCAAAAUCAUUCAUUGCGGAAAUCAUAGGUGUGUGCACUGCGAUCAAUCCAAGCUCUUCAUUUCCAAAUCGGUGAUACCUAAAACAAAAGUUGUAAACCUGUAAGCACGAAUCUUAGUGAGUCCCCCCGAGCAUACCCCACACACAAUCCACCUAACGCGUAUCAUAUUAGCUAUAAAGCUAUCUCUACCGUAUAACAUAAAGGCUAUCUUUACCGUUAGCAACAAAGGUUAUCUCUACCAUUAGCCUUAAAGGCUAUCUCUAUCGUUAACCAUGAAGACUAUCUCUACCACAUAUUACCACAUACUCAAGCCACACACCUCUACACAACAAGUAUCCCAACUAUCACAAAAUGGGCCGGCCUUGGCGCCUUAGACUCAUUGGGAUGGUGAGAAGACUCACCUCUCGGAUGUUGAACUGAUAAGUUGAAGUCAGAUAUAUCCCACACACUGCUCCUUCUCAACUGCUCAUAAUUGUUAGGUGAUUAACCUGACACAAUCCCAUUAAUACCCUCAGGUCAACCUUAGACAAAGUUAAGAUCCACUCUCAAGGUCAACAACCCAUGUUGACCUCAACUCGUCGAGUACAACCAGCCACUCGUUGAGUUCCUUACUUAACUCGUCAACUCGCUGAGUCACUUGAAUGACUUGUUGAGUUCCAUAGUGUUCGCGGCCGUAAAACCUCGACCGCAAACUCUUGACCUCAACCCACUUAGUCGAAAACCCCUUGGUUGUAAACUCCUUGGCCGAAUCAUCGAGUUGAUUAAAGAACUCGACGAGUUCGUUUAGCCCUUUUCGAUUUCGGUCCUAUACAUUGGAAACCGAAGCUCCACAUCACAGAUCCAACCACUUAUGGUUGAGUUAAUAUGUAAAGUUGCAAACAUUAUGUUUUAUGCAAAGCAUCCAAGGCUAGAAACACUAAAUAAAAUCUUGACAAGGGACUUAGAUCAUGAAGGGGGCCAAGACUUGAUAAAGUUGGAAACUUUAAGUCCCCAAAGGCCCUGAGAUAUCCAGAUCUAAAGCCAAAUGCUCAUAAGAAGCUCAAAUCCAAGAAUGAUCCCAAAACCAUGCUACUAAUGGCGAUUAAAUUCCAUAGAAAGAAAUCUAAGAAAUGAAAAGCCAUGGUUUCGAGUUUAUACCUCAAUGUAGCUGCAACACUGGAGGAAAUCCCUGAUCUACUGCCUCUCAUUUAAUACAACCUCUUCAAGCUUCAAGUUCCUUCCAAAAGAGCAUCAAGAAUCACUCUCCAAGCUCACACACACAUACUUAAAGAAAGGAAGGGAACAUACUAGGAUUGGUCUGGACAAAGGGGCAAAUAAGGGAGGCUGUAAAUGAGACAUAAGUCCUUUAAAUAGGGUACCAAUCCUUAAAAUUAGGGUUUCCUCUACAGCGCCUACUCAUCGAGUUGGGGCCUUCCGACUCGUCGAGUAGGGUCGAAAUCUCGCGAUCCUUUAAAUGACUUUACUUGUCGAGUUGGGGCUCUUAACUCGCCGUGUCCCGACACCAAAAACCCGAAAAACUUGCAUCCAUUAAGCAAUUCCCGGAAUAGGUGUUACAUAUGUGUGGCAGUUACAUGAGUUGGGGCAUGACGACUGUGAAUAUGUUUCCAUCGUUCAGGAUUUUCCUAACGUAUUUCCUGGAGUGCCCCCAAGACGCAGGUUGAGUUUCAGAUUGACUUAGGUGUUGUUUGUUUUUUUUGUUAAAAACCUCUUCGGACCUCUUAUUGUUGCAUGGUGCAGCACACGCACAACACUUUUAAUCUUGCAACUGUUUGUUUUUUUAGAAGUCCUCAGAGUAAAAGACCUAUGCACGUGUUUUGUUUGGCGUAACACUUGUAUUGCCUCUUCCAACCUCUUCUUCUUUUUUUUUCUUGCUGAAAUCUUGAUUAUAUGUUGCUGAAAUCUUAUUUUACCUUUUCUUUUUCGUUUUUUUUGUAUGUUCUUCUUGAGUUCUUUUUUUUUUGAUUUUUUAUAUUGAAUAAUGAUAAUUUCUUGAUGAAAUAUCAUUAUUUUAUGCUAAAAUAUAUUUAUUUUUUUGUUGAAAUAUCCUUAUUUUUUGCUGAAAUAUCAUAAAUUAUUGCUGAAAUGUCAUACAUUAUUAAUUUUUCGGUAUUAAAAAACUAUUUCGGUUUAUAAAAUCAGUUUAUUCUAAUUUUUUAAUAUCUGAAACAACAUGCAGAUGUUAAAAAAACAAACACACUUCUUAUUACAGUGUACAGUUGUUUGGUCCGCCCUUCUACUAUAGAGGGUUGCAGUGGUGGUCUAUAGAUUUCACGAAUUUUUGCUUUAAAAAAACAAACAACACCUUAGUUCAUGGAGCGGCCCCGAUAGCUAAAACACCAUAUUGAUUAGCACUGCUAGAAAUACAAGAGUUGUCCAUGCAGCUUAAGGAGCUGCUAGAUAAGGGGUUUAUAAAACCAAGUAGUUCACUAUGGGGAGCACCAAUCCUAUUCAUGAAAAGGAAUGAUAGGUCUCACAGGAUGUGCAUUAAAUACUAGCAGUUGAAUAAUCUAAUGGUGAAGAACCAUUACCCACUACCGAGGAUUGAUGAUCUAUUUAACUAACUUCAGGGUGAAUCGUGGUUCUCUAAGAUUGAUUUGCGGUCAUGUUACCAUCAGAUGAGGGUCAGAGAUGAGGAUGUACAGAAGAUGACCUUCAAGACUCGUUAUGGUCAUUAUGAGUUGAUAGUGAUUCCCUUCGGCCUCACCAAUGCACCAAUAACAUUCAUGGAUCUUAUGAACUAGGUAUGCAGACCAAUGCUUGAUCGUUCGGUGACCGUGUUUACUGAUGAUAUCAUGGUCUAAUCCAAGACCAAGGAGAAGCACGAGGAGCAUUUGCGGGGGGUUCUGGAGACUGUGAGGAAGAAGAGGUUGUAUUCCAACUUCUCCAAAUGUGAGUUUUGGUUGCACGAGGUGCUGUUCAUGUGGCACAUCAUUAACCAUAUGGGUAUAUUAGUCUGUAAGUCCAAGAUCGAGACGGUGAUGAGGUGGGAGAUUCCGAGAACACCUUCAGAGAUUCAGAUUUUUUUAGUUUGCGGGUUAUUAUCAGAGAUUUGUCCAUGAUUUCUCUAAGAUUGUUGUGCCAUUGACCCACAUGACGAAAAAGAAUGUUAUUUUUCGGUGAGACAGAAAUUCGGAGUUGUACUCAUGUAGAGAGGCCACUUAAUUUCUUACCAUUCGAGGCAGUUGAAGCCUCAUGAGGCAAAUUACCCUAAGCAUGAUUUAGAGUUAGGGCUGUUGUUUUUUCCCUCAAGAUUUAGAGGCACUAUUUGUAUGGGGUUAGGUGUACCAUCUACAUCAACCACAGGAGUCUGAGAUACCUGAUGAAUCAGCCGAAUCUGAAUAUGAGACAACGAAGGUGGUUGGAUGUGGUGAAGAAUUAUGACUAUCAGAUUUUGUAUCACCCUGUGGAGGCCAAUGUUAUGUCUGAUGCCUUGAGCCACAAGGCAGUGUGUAAAAGCAUUGGAGAUUUAUGUUUAAGGAUGUUUUUUUAUUUCUCCUCUCUUAGAUAUGAUCAACAAGGGUCAAGUGGAACGAUUGAAGAAGGAAAAUUGGAAGGUAGAACGAAUCAGGGGACAUAUUACAUUGUUCAUCCGAGAUAACCAGGGCUUAUUAACUCAGUGUGGUAGGGUUUGGGUCCCAAAAACCGGUGGAGUUAUACAGACAAUGAUAGAGAAGGCCCACAAGUCGAGGUUUUCGAUCCACCCUCGGACCACAAAGAUGUAUAGGGUUAUGAAGUUGAGCUAUUGGUGGCCAUGUAUGAAGAGGGAAAUAACAUGGUUUGUGGAACGGUGCUUGAAUCACUGAAAAUUCAAGGCUGAACAUCAAAGACCCCACGACAAGAUGCAUCUAUUACCCAUUCCUAUAUGGAAAUGGGAAAAUAUCACUAUGGACUUCAUCACAAAGCUGUCGAGGAUGACACGUGGGGUUGACUCUAUUUGGGUCAUUGUUGAUCAAUUAACUAAUGGGUUUUGAGCAUUCUAACACCCCUAAGUGUACUUGCAACCCUAGAAAACUUGGAUCUAUGUUUGUCUAAAAUACAUGCAAAAUAUGAUUUCCAAGGUUCACAAUCCUAUCUAGCAUACAUGGGGAAAUUUUAACAUAAAACAUGGCUAGAAUUACAUACCUUGUAGUUGAUUUGAUUCCUUGAAAACCUUGAGAGCCUAGCACCCCAAGUGUGAUGCCUCAAAUGUUUCACACAACACCAAGUGCUUCGGAAUAACUUUGAGAGAAUGUAGAACAUUUGCAAAAUCGGUUUGCCAUAUCUAUCUUGCUUCUAGUGCCAAUUUUGGUGAGCUUCAUAUCCUUUAUAUAGUGUGUUAGAAUUAGGGUUACACCAUGUAAACCCUAAUAUAACAUGGCUCUUCAUUUCCAUGACCCAUGGGUUUGUAACUCCCAUGGAGCAUCCUAUGGACCUUAGCCCAACUUGAUAAUCCAUGGAGCAAUUAGCCCACUAUACAAGUUAUGGAUGAUUUACAUAAUCAACCCAUAUAUUUAAUUAGUCUUCUUUUGAUCACUUAAUUAAUUACAAAUUAAUUCUUGAUCAAUACUAAUUAAAUAAUACUAUUAAUAUAUUAGAACUUAUAAUAUAUUAAUAAACCACAAGUGUUAUUUAUCUCAUUUAGUCUAUCCAAAUGCAUGAUGCCAUGCAACCCAAAUGGACCAUGCCAAAUCGGGUCAAGUACAUACCAGAAAUAGUUAUGGACUUAGACACCUUAUCCAACAGUCUCUCACUUGGAUAAGUCUAAUAACUAUAACUGCAAGUAUUACUUCAGGAACCGAUCAGCAAUCGUAGCUCUUUCAAGGUAUCUCAGAAUUGAGAAGAUGAUGUUGCACCAUUUAAGAUAAGUGAUCAUGUAAUCCUCUAUUCUAGAUAUAAGCCGGAAAAAUACAUGAAAGAAUGUCUUACUUAUUGUCCAGCAGUUUGUUUCCCGAUUUUUGAUUUGUUUGACAUAGAACUAAACUGGACAUAUCAAUUCGGUUAUGACCGGGCCCAAUACUUAGGUCAAAACAAAAUCAUCGAGGGGCCCAAAUAUCGCUUCUAAUCAAAGAAGGAACAGAUAAACUUUGACUCAUAUGCUUGUUCUAUUACUUGUUGAAUCACACACAAAAGUAUGUUUUAUAACAUCGAGUUACCAAUGCGUUUUUGUAUGAUCAAUGCAUAACCAACUAAUAGGCAACAAGUCAUAUAUCUAGGUUUGAAGACUNAUCCCAUGAAGAUACCAGUGAGCAUGGGUUGAAUUCAAUGCUCAGAACUUAUGAGCACUCAUGAGUGUUGUAGCCAUGUCCAACAACUUAGACCUCUGCAACCAACUCAUGAUAGUCUUGAUUCAUACCUACUUCCAACAUAUGACCGACUAUGGAGAAUUUGAAUAAUAUGAUAUACUGGACAUAAUUAUUCUGGAAGUCAAAGCAUGCAAAAGAAAUAUAGUAAAUGAUUGACAAAGGAUAGCAACACUUUACUCAUAAAUAACCACAACUUUUAUUCAUCAUCAAAUGUUAAUUACACUUUACAGAUUUCAAAAUUAUCUAACUACUAAAACUAAUAUCAUCCUUCAGCCCUAUGCUUUGAGCAUGCUGGAGAUGCUUAACCCGACUCAGUCCCUUCGUGAGGGGAUCUGCUAGGUUCUCAUCCGAUGAUACCCUCUUUUCCACGAUGAGUCCUUCUUCUAUGUGAUGUCUGAUGAAAUGAUAUUUUCUGUCAAUUUUUCUGGAUCUACCAUGAUCCCUUGGUUCCGUGGCAAAGGCAACUACACUUUCACUAUCACAGAAAACUUCCAUUGGCUCCUUUAUAUCUGGUACAACUCCAAGGUCUCCAAUGAAGUUCUUCAACCAUAUCGCCUCCUUUUUUGCCUCGCUUGCUGCUAUAUACUAUGAUUCGCAAGUUGAAACAGCCACUGUCUCCUGCUUGGAACUCUUCCAAGUAAUUGCUCCUCUGUUUAAGGUAAAGACCCAGCCUUAGUCCUCCACAGGUACUUGGGGAUAUUCUUUACCGUGGUCCAGUGAGCCUUGCUAGGUUUCCCCUAAUAUCUGCUAACUGUGCUCAAAGCAAAGGCUACAUCAGGACGAGUACAGGUCAUAGCAUACAUGAUCGAACCCACUAUAGAAGCAUAAGGUACUCAGCUCAUUUCUGCUAUGUCAGCCUCAUUACUCGGGCUCUAAAUUUUACUCGGUCUGGUGUUACUCUGGAUAGGUAACUCUCCUUUCUUGGAAUCAUGCAUGUUGAACCUCUUCAGUACCUUAUCCAAGUAGGUACUCUGACUAACUCCAAUUAGUCUUUUACUCCGGUCUCUCAGAAUCCUUAUCCACAGAAUAUAGGCAACUUCUCCUUGGUCUUUCAUAGAGAAACAUUUCCCAAGCCACGAAUUUACUUACUGCAAGGUUGGGAUGUCGUUUCCUAUGAGUAGUAUGGCAUCAACAUACAGUACCAAAAAGCUAACUAUACUCCCACUAGCCUUGACAUAGAAACAAGAUUCAUAUUCACUCCUCGAAAAUCCAAACUCUUUGACUUUCUCAUUGAAGCAAAGAUUCCAUCUUCGAGGUGCCUGUUUCAAUCCAUAAAUGGAUUUCUCGAGCUUACACACUCUAUUAGGGUAAUCAGUACUGAAAAAACCCUCUAGAUGACACAUGUAAACAUCUUCAGCUAAACUUCCAUUAAGGAAGGCGGUUUUGACAUCCAUUUGCCAUAUUUCAUAAUCAUGAAACGCAGCAAUGGCUAACAGAACCCUAAUGCUCUUAAUCUUUUCUACUGAUGAAAAGGUCUCAUCAUAAUCAACUCCCAGAGUUUGAGAAAAGCCCUUUGCAACCAGUCGUUCCUUAUAUGUGUCUACAUUACCAUCCAUCUCAGUCUUCUUUUUGAAGAUCCAUUUGCACCCAUUUGUCUUAUGACCUGGUACAUUGUCAACCAAGUUCCAAACUUGAUUGUCAUACAUGGACCGUAUCUCGCUAUCCAUUGCCUCUUUCCACUUAGCAGACUUGGGGGUUGCCAUGGCUUCCGCAUAACUGUUAGGUUCAUCCAGACCUACCAGUGUCUCAUCACUGAUACAUGUCUCACCUUCCGCAGUAAUAUGGAAACCAUACUAGUGCUCAGGUGCAUUCCUAACCCUUGUGGAACGCCUCAGAGGUACAGACUCGUCAAUUGGAUCAACAUGAGUUUCCUCCUCAGGUUGACUGCAGGGGUUUGAAGUUCUUUCACCACUUGACUCUUGAAUUUCUUCAAGGUCAAUUUGCCUCCCACUGUUUCCUUGGCUUAUGAACUCUCUCUCUCUCUCUCUCUCUCUCAAGACACCCUUCCUUGCUACAAAGACCACAUUCUCACUAGGUCUNGGGUUUUCGGUGGUUAGCCGAUGAAAGUACACCUCUCACUUUGAGGUUCGAGCUUAUCAUGAGUCUCGCGCCUCACGAAAUCUUCGCAACCGCAAAUCUUGAUGUGGUCUAGUUUGGGAACUUUACCAGUCCACAUCUCAUGAGGAAUUUUGGCAACUUUCUAAGUAGGGACCAUAUUAAGGAUAUGGGCGGAAGUCUCUAAGGCAUACCCCUAAAAUGAGAUUGGUAGCAUAGCUCGACUCAUCAAGGAACAAACCAUAUCCAAUAAGGUUCAAUUGCGCCUCUCAGCCACACCAUUAACCUGUGGUUUCCUGGGAGGUGUCAAUUGUGAGAUAAUCGCACAUUCCUUAUGAUAGUCAGGGAACUCUAUACUAAGAUACUCACCACAACGAUCGGAUCGAAUCAUCUAAAUGUUCCUGCCUAAUUGAUUCUCGACUUUCUGUUUAAACUCUUUAAACCUUCCAAAAGUCUCUAACUAAUGCUUGAUUAAAUAGACAUAUCCAUAUCUACUAUAAUCAUCAGUAAAAGUCAAAUUAAUAACGAUUAACAUCCCUUGUGGCAGAUUUGAAGGGCCCACACACAUCUGUGUGUACCAGAUCCAACAAACCUUCACCCCUAGCACAAGAACCAGUGAAGGGUGACUUUGUCAUUUUUCCAAUUAAGCAUGAUUCACAACUAUCAUCUGACUUUAGGUCAAAUGACUCCAAGACUCCAUCCUUUUGCAGUUGGCGUAUGCGUUUCUUACUCACAUGUCCAAGACGACAGUGCCAUAAUGAUGAUUUAUCCAAGUUAUUAUUCCUAGAAGAAUCAAUACACAACACAUUAUUUCCUAGAUUAUCUAUAACAGAUAUAGCUUCAUACACACCAUCACAAGGUAAUGCUUUAAAAUAAAGAACAUUAUUAAGGAAACAUUUAUUCCACCAAUUUCAUUAUCAAAAGAAAAGGCAAACCCUUGUUUGUACAAAGCAUGAAAGGAAAUAAUAUUUCUUGCCAUUUCAGGCAAAUAACAACAUUUAUUCAAAUCUAAUGUAAACCCACUACUUAGAAACAAAGAAUAAACUCCGAUCUUGGUGACAUGUGAACCUUUCCUAUUCCCCAUGAUCAAGUUUAUCUUUCCAUGCUCCACAUUCUCACUUCUUCUUAGUCCCUGCAAAUCAGAACAGAUAUGAAUACCACAGCCGGUAUCAAGGACCCAAGAGUUAGAAUGGGGUGAGUUAUUAGAUAAAAUAGUGUAAAUACCAGCAUGGUUGGGUUUAACUUUCCCAUCCUUCACAUCUUGCUGNUUGGGCAGUUCCACUUCCAAUGCGACUUUUCAUGGAAAUAGAAGCAUUCAACCUCUUUUGGGUUAGAAGAACGAGCGAUGAAACCUUUCUUGGUUCCACUUGAAGAAGAGCCAUUAAUGGUCUUACCCUUGGUGCCCUUCGAAGGGCUCUUCCUCUUCCUCCAUCUACCUUUCCCGAUUUCCAGGACAGGUGCAGAGUUUGGAGUAGGAGUAGGAGUGGUAACAACCGACUUACCUUUAAGACUUGUUUCUGCAGUCUUUAGGAGUCAUUGAAGUUUGCUGAGUGUGACUUCUUCCUUAUUCCUGUGGUAUGUCAUGCGGAAUUGAUCAUAACAUGAGGGUAAGGAGUGCAAAAUGAUAUCUAUUGCUAGCUCCUCGGGGAAGUUCACAUUAAGCUUCAGUAAACGAUCCACAUACCUUUGCAUUUUCUGCAUGUGGCUCGUGAUGGAUUCUCUAUCCUUCAUCCUGGUUGUUAUCAUGGAGGAGAUUAUUUCAUACCGCUCUUGACGAGCACUCUAAUGGUAUCUUUCCAUCAUAUCUUGGUGCAUCUCAAAAGGGUAGUCGUCCUCAUAGGAAUUCUGGAGUUCAACUAUCAUGGUGGCUAUCAUGAUGCAUGCCAAUUUGGUGGCGUGUCUUUCAUGAGUCCGGAAGUCAUCGAUCUCCUGGAGAGUAGCAAUGGACUCAUCGAUCUCCUUUAGCUCCUUAUCGAGGACAUAUUCCUUGUCCUCGUAGUGAGUCACCAUCCUAAUGUUCCGGAUCCAAUCCAAAAAUUUGGAACCAUCGAAGAUGACCCUCCCACAUAGGUUCAUGAGGGAAAAGGAUCCAGUAUGGUUCGAACCUGAAGCAGUGUUGUUGGAAGACAUUUGAAAAGAAGAGAACAAGUUCAGUUUAAAUAUAAAGAUAGUCCUUAAUAAAACACCCAAAUGUAAUAUUAAGGCUAGGAUCCAAUCACAGUAUAUCAUAACUUAGAAGAGGGAUGUUGUAAUCUAAGCUAUAACAUAUUUGAAAGGUAGGUGAAUGACAAUUCCCCAAUUUCCACCAUGAAAAAUGAAAUAUAAAUAUUAGGUUUUUAAUUGGUUCUUGGAAAUUCCUAGAUUAUUUUUGAGAUUCAAUGAACUUUUCAAAGGCAUGUUUCAAUCUCUAGUGUGCCCUCCAAGUUUUGUGACUGGGAUGCCGAGCAUCACAAAACGAGGUGUGAAGUAACCAUGCAAAUUAUUUGGUACCAUUAAUGUUUAUCACUCAAUUGAUGUGCCGGUUAACCACACGCGCUCCACUGGCCUAUAAUAAACCUUAAGUCACCCUUUACCUACCUUGUUAAGUCCAACUUAGUGUGCCGGUUAACCACACACGCUCCACUAAUGACUUAAACAAAGUGUAAGGUGUAAUUUCCUGGAUUAGCACCUUAUUCACAUUUGCCUAAAGUAACUAAGAGUAGGAAUUUAAUAAAUACAUUUAGUUACUUUAUAAUAAUCAUUAUACUUUUAAUGAUAAUUUUAUAAGUCCUUGUCCUACCCGUUCGACUAAAGGCCCUCCACCGAUCAAGGAAACGGUGGAUGAGA
rnacentral:lncRNA from 1 species